rnacentral:lncRNA from 1 species
ACAAAGAUCAAGGAGUGCGGCAGUGGAGGCGGUGUCGAACAAAGAAAUCGAGGAUUGUGCAAGAAAGAGAGAGAGAGAGAGAGAGAGAGAUCGAUCGCAUGCGGAUAAGGUUGAACAAGAGAAAAAGAGAAUGGCCUGUUGGGGAGAAAAAGAGAGAUUACCGCCGUUCCGUAACGACCUUUGAACUGAGUGGAGAAGGCUUUUUAUUAAUUAGGAUUGCAUAAUUGCACUAACCCCUAAACUUUUUAAGUUGAACAAAAUAAUCCUUCUCUAUCAAAUAAAUAAAAGUAUGGGGUAUUACAUUCCAUCACCUCCUCUCGCUAAUCUCGGUACCGAUAGGCUCGAGCAUCUGAAAGCUCAUCUUGUUGUGCAGGGCUAUAAACAACAACAGAGGAUCAACUUUGAUGAGACCUUCACCCAUGUUGUUAAACUUACCACCAUCCAAACAGUUAUUUUAGUUGAUCUCUCAUCUAGAUGGACUUUUCGUCAACUUGAUGUGAAGAACACCUUUCCCCAUGGGGUUCUCAAUGAAGAAACACGAAGCAACCACCGGGCUUUGAGCACACACCAUUUCCUCAUCAUGUUUGCAAGCUCCGGAGAGUUAUUUAUAGUCUUAAACAGGCACCUCGUGCAUGGUUUCAGCAAUUCACAUCUUUCUUAUCUGACCAUGGGUUAAUUGGGAGCACUGACGAUCCCUCCAUGUUUGUCUCCUACAGGACUGACGACAUCCUUAUUUUAUCAUUGUAUGUUGAUGAUAUUAUUAUGAUAGAUAGCUCAACGUCUUUACUGAUGUCUUUCAUCUCCACUCUCCAAUCUAAGUUUGCUUAGAAAGACUUGGGCUCUCUCCACUAUUUCCUUAGGGUGAAAGUUUCAGGCUUUAAUAAUAGCUUGUUGCUAACACAAGAGAAAUAUGCUCAUCAGGUACUUGAGCAUCAUUAUAUGCUUUCUUUCAAGCCUAUUUCCACGCCACUUUCAUUGACAACUCAUCUCUCUAUUAAUGAGGGUCGUUUUCUCGGUGAUCCCAAUACAUAUCGGCAGAUAGUUGGGCCCUUACAGUACCUUAUCUUCACUCAGUCUGAUACCUCAUAUGUUGUCUAGUUGUACAAUUUCUGCAUGCACCUCGUGACACUCAUCUACAAGUAGUAAAAGAAUUAUUUGUGAUAUUCAUGGGACUCUUUCUUAUGGACUUCAUUUUCUCGAUGCGUCAAUCCUUCUCUUAUUGCAUAUUCAGAUGCUCAUUGUGCGGGAUGUCCUAAUGCUCGACGCUCUACCUUCGAUUAUUGUGUUUUUCUUGGCUCAAACGACAUUUUGUGGUCUACUAAGAAGCAACCCACUAUAUAUCACUCAAGCUCCAAAGCUGAAUAUCACUCUGUUUCCUUUACCCUCGCUAAGACUGUCUGGAUUUAUCGACUCCAUGAUCUUGGUGUGCCACUAAAGUGACUGGUUACUAUCUAUUGUGACAGGCUUAGUACCAUAUAUCUUACCGUCGAUCCAAUGUUACAUGUACGCCAAGCAUAUCGAACUUGAUCAUCACUUUCCUCACGAGAAAGUGCAGAUGAGUGAUCUCUCUUUGAUUCAUAUAUCAUUGGGUACGCAGCUUGCUGACAUAUUCAAUAAAUUACUCUACACUUCUCGUUUUUGUGCUCUUCGUACCAAUCUUCACAUCUAAUCUCGAGAUGCUCAAAUUGUAUGGGGAUGUUAGAGUAAUUAGUGCAUACGCAUUUGGAAUGAUUGAAAUUAGUAUAAUAUAAGUCAAUAUUUAUAUUUAUUACUAUUUUAUCAUUAAUCCAGUUGCAUGACAACUAGCUUGUACCUCGUAUACACCUAUACCUAUUAUAUCUAAUACAAAACUCUAUAGGGUUGUGUGGUGGGUUUUACCGAACCUUUCAGAAACACACUCAGAGUCGAGUUGUACUUGUUAGCCAUAGCUUCGACAACAGCUGUUUUUCUAAAUUACCACAAAAAUGUGUAUAUCAUGUUUAUUAGCAUUAAUAUUGAAAAUAAACGUCAAACUAUUCAUUUUGAAUUGAGAUAGCAAUGAGCAUAUACUUAAGGGCUUUUUUUGCAUUUAGCCCCCUGGCAAAUUUUUAUUUUAAAAAUAACCCUGUCAAAAUUUAAUUUGCAAAAAUGGCCCUAGGCCAGCCACGCCGGCGCCACGUCAGCGCCACGCGGGCGGGGCUGGGGGCGGUAGUUAAGUUAAACACGGUGAACAAUUCACCGUGUCUAAACACGGUGAAUGGUUCACCAUGUUUACUACGUAUUUUUUGUAUAUUGAAAAGAGGAAUAGGGAAUUUGUAUUUCUUUUCUUCUCUUUUUCAAAAAUCCGAACCCGAACCCGAAAAUCAAAUUAAAAUCCAAACCCGGAUCCGAACCCGACGGAUUUUAAAAAUUCAUACCCAUAUCCAUAUCCGACCAAAAACUCGAAACCCGAACCUGAAUCCAGCAGAUUUUAAAAUCUAUAUCGUUGGAUGAAGAUCUAAGAAAUAAAAAUUAUUAAAUAUUUUAUAUAUUGUAUAAAUAAAUAAAAAUAAAUUAUGUAUAUAUAUAUAAUUUAUUCGUGUUUGGAUUCGGAUAAUAUUUCGGAUAUCCAUACCUAUUGACAUCCCUACUCCCUAUUCCUCUUUUCAAUAUACAAAAAAUACGCACUAAACACGGUGAACCAUUCACCGUGUUUGAACACGGUGAAUGGUUCACCGUGUUCAACUUAACACGCGGGCCGCGGCCCUGCCCGCGUGGCGCUGACGUGGCGCCUGCGUGGCAGGCCUAGGGCUAUUUUUGCAAAUUAAAUUUUAACAGCGCUAAUUUUAAAAUAAAAAUUUGUCAAGGGGCUAAAUGCAAAAAAAGCCCUAUACUUAAAUAAAAUGGACAUGCAAUUUUGUGUAUAGGUGCAUAUUUAGGAGGACCUUCUAUGCUAAUAUCCUUUUAAUCUCAAGUUAUAACCAGGCUAUGUAGCUAAGCAAGAAAGCAAAUAGAAAAUCUUAGAUAACAAGAAAAAGAAGCAGAAAAAAGCAAUAAUUAAAAUGGAUUCUUCACAUCCUAGAAUAAGACUCAAACAAAUAAAAAAGUGAGCUUUGGAAGAAUGUAUAUUAAGAUCCAAUUAAAUGUCAAUAAUCACCAAUCGUCAUUGAAAUAUUUUAACUUCGUUAAAAUAAAAAGCAAAAUGUAAUUCAAGGCCAACGAACCUUUGAGCAUGUCCCAAGUUCACUAGCUUCAUUUUGACCUGCACAUUAAGCUUGUUGAUUAUACCGCAUGCAUAGAGACUAUCGAGAAACAACAUAUCUUAUAAAGAUAAGUCCUUAAGUGUAUGACUAAUUACUGGAAAUAAUAGUGUCUCUAUCAACAAAGGAGCAUAAAAACUAGAAAUGUGUGUUGAUACACAUCUAUGUAGAUUGCCUAAUAGAUAUAUGAAUUAAUUUCAUACAGGUCCCUGCAAAUAUAGUGAAUUGCAAAUAUAUCCCUACAAAAUUCAACUUUCAUAUGUUGUCCUUACAAAAGUCCUAAUAUUUUCAAAUAUAUCCUUGCCGUUAUGAUCCGGUAGAAAAAAUUAGUUAACCAUAGGUAAGAUACUUAACUCUAGUUAGUUAAUGAGGUGAAUUGACCUUUUUACCCCUCUUCAAUUAACAGUUGGGACUUUUAGAGGGACAUAUUUGUGAUAACAAAAAAGUUAUUUCACUUAUCAAAUAAAUAGUUCUUUAACCGUAACAAACCAGAGGGACAUAUUUAAAAACAUUAGAACUUUUGGAGGGACAACAUAUGAAAGUUGAACUUUGUAGGGAUAUAUUUGCAAUUUACUAUGUUUGCAGGGACCUAUAUGAAAUUAACACAUAAUAUAUAAUUGAAGGUCAGAGUAAUUACAUGUCACUCCAGAAUUUUUCUAAAACUGAAGAAGCUUCAGCAAAACUAGAAGAGGCCUCAGCAAAACUAAAAAGCCUGAAAUUACUAUGCCUGGUUUGACAAAUCUCAAUGGCAGCAUAAAGAAUAAUGUCAAUAUGCAUAGGAAAACAAUCUUUCGUGUCAGAUAAAUAAUCUUGCUUAUCUAAAGAGCCAGCAUGACAAAGAUGUCUUCAGUAAUUAUUGUAAAACUCUUCCAUAUUAAGUUGAUUGUACAUAUAUAGAUACCAUCAUGUAUGAUACAACAGUGCAAAUCUGCAUUAUUCUUACAUGACAUCACCUUGGGAUCCUGCAUAGCUAAUUUAGUCCUCUCUCGAAUGCGUUGAAGAGUUUCUGCACGCAAUUCGUUAUAAAGUUGAUCGGUUAACGGAAGUUUAAAAUUUACGCAAUGAGAACAGGCUAUCUUUACAAAACUAACCUUGACUAUGUUUUCUGCCUUUGUUCCACGGUACAUUCCCCUUAUUUGCUUUCGAGAUUCUCAUUCGUCUCAACUUUUCUCUAUUAUCUAUUUCAGAAAACUCUUCAUGUGAAAAUUGAGAUACUUGACACACACCAUAUUCCAAAGUGGUAGUGCACAUCUCAUCAUCCGGGGUGGGAACUGACUUAGGUUCAACAGUAGCAACUGCCUUGAUAAGAUGUUCAUCCUUCUUAUCAAUAGACAACCCUCCAAACGUUGACCUUUUGGGGAUUUGAAUGUGAUUUUUCCAUCCAAAUCCUAUUUGCUUAUUCCAUAUAAAAGGAAGUCCGUGCGCAAUCUUCCUAUAGCUUAGCAAUUGACUAUUUCUUGCACUCAUGUAGUUCGCAAAGGAAGAUUUUGAAGUGAAAAUAUCUGCAUAACAGUUAUAUGAUACAAAUAAAUUUAGACAAACAGAUGCUUAGAGAAGAAAUAGAAAAAAAAUAAAUAAACAAAAUAAAAGACAACAGCAAAAUCUAUCAUAAGAACUUGUCUAAAUUGAUGUUUUCUGGGCUUAAAUAACAUCAAAGAUUUGUCAACAAAAUAAGGUACUAAAAAGCAACUAAAUUUGUAAUUUCUUUAAAGAAUUUGCUUGAAUUGUAACCUUUUCAAAUUAAAAUGAUUAUGUACAAAGAACUUAAAUGAUAGCCAAACCACAAAAGUUCCUAUCUCACAACAGAUGUUUUGAAUUACACCAAGAAAAAUGGUAACCACAAAGUACAUGAAAGUUGACAAAUUUGCACUUUUAAAGUACUUCAAUAAGCUCAAUUUGUAUCUUCCUGUCAAGCUCCAGAGCUCUUUUAUAAACCUUUUAUAGAAAAAAUAGGGGAAAACGUGUACUUUUUCUUUUAAAACAAAGCCAAAGAUGGAGCAUGUACAGACCUGCUACAUGGACAGAGUCUCUCCUGUACAAACAGACAGAGUCUUCCCUAUACACGCACGGCAUAGAAACCUAGAAUACAUCAUCAACCAAUGCAUCAAACACAAAGAUUAACAACAAUAACAACCGAUAGAUAAACAACUAAACAAAAGAUAGUAAGCGUACCAAACAAAUCGAUAGUUAAUUAUUUGAAGAUACUAAUACUGAAAGAAACAACCGAACUACUGAGGAACCUACAUCCACCAUUAUUAACAUGAAAUAGAGUUAAAUAACAUUAAUCUGAAACAUAAAAGCAAGACUAAACAUGAAAGAUAAACUAAAUCAUCAACAUCACGGCCUGGGACAUGUCUAUCUACUAGCACCCUCAUGCACUGUCCUGACCCUCACUCCAGUAUCACCUAUAAAAAACAGGGAGUGAGAAACAUGUACACAUUCUUCCCAUUGGGUAUCGCAAGCCGCCAAAAGUAAGCUAUACUCACCAGUAAACAAGAGAGAGAAUAUAAUUUGAAAGGUAUGAAUAAAUAAGACGAUACAAUAGCAAUAAGUAUAAUAGGAAAAGAAUACACAAAUAAAUAUCUAAACUAAUAUCGCUAUUGAGAUAAGAUAAAUAAUGUAUAUAUAUGUAUCAACCGGAUAAAAAGUCCAAUAUCCAAACACAAUCUAAAUACCAGUUUGUUGGUCUAAAAACCUCAGGCAAUGCCACAUUGUGCUCAGUCACAGGGCACAUAACCCCAUUGCAAAAUAUACUGCAUAGAGCUCACAGAUCGGAACAUGACCACUUCUCCCCAAAAAAAACCAUUACGGUGGCCGAACUGCUGGUGUACGUGAAAUGCUCUAUGAACAGCGGUGAUUGAUGUUGUAUGCUCAAUUGCCAAACCAUCGGCAAAUAGCCGAGAGAAAUUAAUAGAAUGUCCACCGACCAAUCAGACAAUGUCCCUAAAUCAUAAUGUGAUGUUGUAUGCUCAAUUGCCAAACCAUCAGCAAAUAGCCGAGAGAAAUCAAUAGAAUGCCCACCGACCAAUCAGAUCAAACAAUGUCACUAAUAAUGUGAUACCGACCUACCGGAUAAAUGGUCUACCGCUCUACAACUCAAAAGUAAUCUUAAUGGUAUAUAUCAAAUAAAGUAGAGCAAAUAAAAUAAAGAUUCCAUUGAUGCAAAAGAUGUACUCAAUAAGAAUCAUAGAGGAGAAUAAAGGGGAAAGGAAAGUAACAGAGUAGGCACCACUUUACCGACUUAAGAUUGUAGCACCCACCUCAAAACCAACAACGAGUCCGCGACUCGAAAGAUGCUCCUAAACGUCGCCCGGACCUUCGAAAGAUCUCACGGAGUCACAAUCAGCUCCACAACCCAAAACCAACACCAAAUUGACCCGAAGUCACUUUAAUCACUAAACGCUACAAUCAAACAAUCAGUUUCAUUUACCAAUUUUUGGAACCUGCUGCCGGAAUUCAUGAAAACUCACCAAAAACACUUUCGCAAUCCACAAAGUAUCCCAGAGGAUGCCAUCCAUCUUCUUAACCCAUCCACUACCCCGAAACAAACCAUUUUGGAUGUUCGAGCAACUACACGCGACGAAAAUGCUAAAUAGGUGUAGCUAAAAACAUGUUACAACGAGUUUCCGAAAGUGCCGAUUGGUUUCGGAACCAAGGAUAAAAGUACCGCCUCGUGCCGUACAUCGGAACCAAGGAUAAAGGGGUCGCCCCUUGCCGUACAGCACGAGGCGGAACGUACGGUACGAGGGGGUCUCGCAGGAUCCCCCUGUGUUGCCAUAUGCAAUGAGCAUCGUGCCGCGUUCUCUUUUUUUUGUUUUGAUUUGUUAGUUAGGAUUUUUUUUCUGGCUUUUUUAGUUGUGAUUUGUUAUUUAGGGUAUAAGAAUGGAUGAUAACUAAAUCACACUAUCUUAUCGCUAAUUUUUUAAAAAAAAAUUUAAUCCCUUCUCUCCCUUUGAUUUAGUUAUCUAAUGAUUAUAAUCUUCUCUAUUCUAAAAUCUAAUCUAAUCUAAUCUAGAAUUACCAUAUUUAAUCUAUAAAAUCUAGUCAAAUCUAAUAUAAUCUAGAAUCUAAUAUAACAUAUAUUUAAAUUUAUCUAUUCUAAUUUACAAGUAUGAAACCUAAUCAAAUCUAAUCUAGAAUUAUCUAUUAGAGUAUUAAAUUCUAAUCUAAUCUAGAAAUAUAAUAGAAUAUAACUAAUUAAAUUUGAUUUACGAAAUUGCAAAUUACCUAAAUUAAUAGUUUAAAAAUUCUAAUCUAAAACGACCUUAUUUAAUCUAAUAUUGAAUCUAAUCUAAUCUAUUGUGACGCCCCACUUCCCACGGGGUCACCCAUCCUAGGGCUACUCUAGUCCUAGCACGCUUAGCUCUUUUAACAUCUUAGGCCUAGCCACCGCCCAAAGUGCUACAGUCGAGUUAAGUGUUUUAGCUCUAUUAUAUCUUAUAUAUAGGACUACCUAGUGUCUCGCAUUCUCUCCCUCUUUAAGCCCUAAUGUCCUCGUUAGGCUCAAACUCACAAGUACCAGGCGACGAAAGACUCGUCUCGCUAGCCUUUAACUGACCUUGUGGGGUAGCCACGUGUUACUAAUAACAGUCAUCAACAUAAGAGCCUCGCUCUCCCACUGUAUAACCUGGCUCAGCCGAGACUCAUCUCACACUUCCGGCUAAUAAUUGGCUCUGAUACCAAUUGUGACGCCCCACUUCCCAGGAAUGGAAUUGUCAUUGGAAUAGGUUGUCUAUAACACCCCAAUAGCCCCACAUCAGAUAGGAAUAAGGUUAUCAUUGGGUAUAUAAGAGGAUUCCACCCUAGUAAUAAUAACCGGGCUUAAGCAUUUUGGGCCGGUGAUUUUGGCCCAAUGAAUUAUUAUUGCUAGUAGGUCGAAUCGUUACAUUUGGUAUCAGAGCCGGUUCACCAGCCGGAAGUGUGCAUACGUGAUUAAGCAAACAAACACCACAUUAGUGGGAUUAAGCAUGCAAAAUAGAAAAUUUCCUAACUAAUUAAGUAUAAUUUUCAUACUAAAAAUAUAAUAACAAUGACUGGGUUCACAAAAUAUUACAAAUCUCAUUUCGCAUAUUUUAUGAAAGAACUGAGAGAAACAAAAUGUUAACAAAAAUUAAUCUAAUUCCAAAAUUAGAAUUCGAAACAAAAGUUUCCAGUAACUAGCGACCCAUUGGCUAAGGUCCUAAGCACACAUUAGAGGCAUCCGAAGGGGCGAUCACAAAAUGAAAGCACCCAAAGAUAAAUAGCAUCAAGAGGCGCAUCACAAAAUUGCACUCGAAAGCGCGUUACAAAAUUUGCAUUUGAAAGUGCGUCACAAAAUUGCAUUCAGAGGUGCAUCACAAAAUCGAAACUAGCUUUUAUCACAAAAUUCAUGUCGACAUGGCCAAUAUUAUUAUAGCAAUAUACCCAGAGACAUCAUGACUUCAAAAUUAUUUACCCAAAUUUAGAAGGAAACAGAUUAUCAAAUACUAAAAUUUAAUCAAAUAAGCACAAUUUCUAAAGCACAUAUUUUAAAUAAAAUUGUACACUUUUUAGAAAUUUUUUUCUUUCAACAAUUCGUAAUUUAUAUAAGCACGCCUAACCCUUAUUUUAAAAAAUAAUACAAAAAGGAGGUACUGUUAUUGUACCAUAUUUUUAUAAUUUUGCCAAAAAUAAACUAACAGCUGCUAGGUUGCUUACCUUUGCUUACCUUUAAGUAAUCUAAGAAUCUUUCUGUCAAAUGCUAAGUAUCAAUUUUAAUCAACGAACCUUUUUUAAAGACAAUGAAGGAAACAACGGUGAAUGAGGUGUCACCGAACACAAUCCAAAAGCGUCGAGAGCGAUCAAGUAUAAUGGCAACGCCAAAGGACGAGGAACGAAACCGACGUGUAUGCGCACGCAUGAGAGAUAGAGAGAAAGCACAGAUUUGCUGGGGAGAGGGAGAAAGAGAGGAGGAAACAUACUAGAGAAAGAGAGAGAGAGACUAAAUAUUACAUAAUCCUUAGGACUAAAGCCCUUUUUUGAACAUAAAUCCCUAAGGUUUAUAAAUUUUGCAACAUAGUCCAAUUCUGUAAACAAACAAAUAAAUAAGAUAAAUAGAGAUAUGGGUAUUACAGUGCGCCAAGUAAACUUGAUGACAUAUAAGGAUGAAAAACAUAAGUGAAAACAAGGAAGAACAAUUAGAUGAUGAUCAUUGUGAAACCGAGGAACCCGACCUAAAAACAAAUUAAUAGAAUAUGACGCCUAUAAUGCAGUUGAAAGGAAAGCAUUCGUCAUGCAUAAGAUUUAAUCCUAUCGUCCCAAAUGAUAACAAAUGUCAUAGGCAUAAUCUUUUUCGAACAACUUGUGCAUCUAGUGGACGAUUGUGUAAAUUGAUAAUAGAUAGUGGAAGCACUGAAAACUUCGUGGAAAGAAAUGGUCGAUGAACUAGGCUUGAUAAUUAAAAGGAUAUAAAGUCCAAACAAGAUGGUUUAAGGAUGGUGGAUAGGUCCUAGUUGACCAUAUGUGCUUAGUUAAAUUUUCUAUGGGAAAGUAGUUUGCCACAUCCUGUUAGGCCGGCCCUAGCAAUUUGAUAGGAAAACCAUUCAUGAUGGGGAAAAGAACACAUAUACGUUUACAAAGGAAGGACAAGUUCAAAAUCACAGUGCACCCAGAAAGAAAGACACCAAAUACCAGUAGAGAGGAUCAUUCCAUAAACCAUAAGAGUGGUGGAAGAGAAUGAGUAAUGACUCUUAGUGAAAAGCAAUUUCAAGAGGACCUAGAGGAGUCGCCCAUAGUUUACGUGAUAAGCAAGGAAGUCUUUAAGGCUAGUGCGAUUCCAAGGAAGUUCAACCAUUGAUCUCUAAAUUUUCUGACAUCACUCUAGAAGAACUUCCUAAUGGAUUGCCACCAAUAAGGGACAUCCAUGAUCCAACAUUGCAUAGAUUUAGUUCUGUACACUAAUCUUCCCCACUUGCGCCAUUAUGGAAUGAGUCUUUUUGAGUACGAGGAGCUACAUCGACAAAGCGACAGAUUUAUUAAAGAAAGGUUACAUUAGAGAGCGUCUUACUCCGUUUGCGGCACUACUCAACAAAGAAAGAUGGAUCUCGACAAAAGUGCAUCCACUGUCACGCAAUUAACAAAAUAACCAUUUAAGUAAAGGUUUCCCAUUCAUCGGCUUGGCGACAUGAUAGGUAUGCUUAGUGGUGCAAAAGUCCUUUAAAAACUAAUCUCGGGAGUGGAUACCAUCAGAUUAGGAUAAGACUUGGGGAUGAAUGGAAAACAGCCUUUAAGACAUGUGAGGUAAUGUAUGAAUGAUUGGUUAUACCAUUUGGUCUAUCAAAUGCAAAAAGCACUUUCAUGAGAGUGGUGAACCAAGUGCUUCGCCUUUUUAUAGAAAAAUAUUUUGUUAUCUAUUUUGAUGAUAUCCUAAUAUAUAGUUCUUGCCCCAAAAGCCAUUCAGAACACUUAAAGAAAUUUUGCAAACCUUGAAAUACAAUCAUCUUUUUGUCAAUAUGAAGAAAUGCACCUUCCUCACUAAUAACCUAGCUUUUCUUAGAUACAUUGUAUCGUCCAAAGGACUAGAAGUAGAACCCUUUUAAAGUAGAUGUCAUCCAAAACUAGCCAACUUUGACUAUGGUUAGUUUAAGUUACGAGUUUUCAUGGCCUAGCUUCCUUCUACCGUCAAGGGAGAACAUGUUCAACAAAAGGGAUCUUGUUAUGGUCAUACUUCCAAAAGGAAAGAUUUCCAGUUGGCGGGCAUAGCAAAGUAAGCCGGAGGAAUUUUAGUCCUUACCGCAUCAUCAAAAGAUUAGGGCCUAAUGCCUACCUAGUCAAACUUCCAGCUAGCAUGACAAUUUGGCUAGUAUUCAAUGUAGCCAACUUAUACAAAUUCCAUGGAGAUCCAUAUAUAGCACAUGAAACAGAUGCAUUGCCUUUUCAAGACACGAGCAAAAGUACCAAAGACCAGAUUGAGGACAUCAUGGAUGUGCGUGAAACUACCACACGUCGAGUGACUCGAGAUUCCUUUUUAAGUGGGAAGGACAGCCAUCAUCAGGUUAUAGCUGGCCGGAAGAAGUUGAACUUCGGAGUCUUCUCAACGACUUGUAUGAGAACUACAUCGAAUCUAUCUCCACAGGGUCGAGAUCUCUCCACCACGGAGGAAAUGAUGCGGGCAUCAACUAGCUUUUAUUAGUGGUAAGUUUCUUAAUAAACUUCAGCCAUAUGUUUUAAUUGGACAAGUUGAGGUUAACCCAACAUAAAACACAUCUAAACUAAACCCUUCCUAGACCACAUUUUAAUUGGCUCAUUCUUUUCUUCUCCACUUGAGCCUAUAUCGAACAUUCUCUCUCUUAUGACUGCUGCCAUUAUCUUUGGACGUCUCAUUAUGAGUUGAUAGCUGAAACACCGGCUUCCACUACCUCUUUGAAAGAUGCUUUGGCCUCCCUAUUCGCUGCCCCUGUCGUAUAGAGCAGUAAAUUACGGCUAAAGCAAUUUGUUGCUGAUUUGCUGUUGAAAGUUGAUCCAAAACAAGAAGGAAAUGGAGUUACAAGCAACUAAAAGGAACUAUGAUGCUUUCCAUGGUAUUUCAACAUAUCCAAGUAUCUUGAAUUUCUAAAUGAGAUUACAACUGAUGCUACAUUAGCACGUUUGGUUUAACGCAGUAUAUAUUGCUAGAUUGCAAUAUUUAAAGCAUUACUAUGUUUGGUUCAGUCUAUAAAAUUUAGUAAUCCUGACAGAAAAGUAGUCUUUUCCAAAACUACCCUUGGGGUCAUUUGAAUAUUAUAUUUUACUAAAAUAUAAGUAAAUAUAAUUUGCACUUGUAAAUUAAUUAUAUUAAUACGUAGUAAAAUAAAGAGACCAAACAUGAAAAUAAAAAUUAUGUUGCAAAAAAUUAAUUUCAACCCAUAAAAGAAUAAAUAGAAAAAAGACCAUUAUACAUAAUCAAAAAUCAUACAAUAACAAAUAAAUUUCAAUUUAGAAACUCAUCUAUAAACAAAAUCAUUAACCAAACAUCACAUAAAGGCACAUUAGCAGCAUAAUAUCAAAAAUAUUUCUCAUGUUUAAGACCAAACAGUACUAUUACCAAGUUAAGAAAUUAACAAAGCACCAUCUAGAAUAAAUAUUUCAUAGAGUCGAAACUUCCACACACAUCACAAUACCAUCCAAAAGUGGAAGCUUAAACACUUACAUUAUAAAAGUUUAUAAGUUCUUGCACUAAAAAAAGGCGAGCCAAAAAUGUCUAAACCCAACUAGUCCAACUCUAAUAACACAAUUUCUUCAAUCACGUCCACCUACGAUACGGAAAAUGUAUUGCUUUCUGUAAUGAUCGAGCAUGCAGUAAAAUGUAUGUAAUUUUGUAGAAUUGCCCUUUAGGAUUUCAGUGGCAUCCAUUAUUUGUCUGUCCUCAAGUCCCUCGAUCUUUAGUAUCUCUUCAAACAACUCCUUUUUGGUCUCAUUAUUUGCCAUGAAUUGAAAGCAAUUAGCAAGCCGACCUAAGUGCUCAUUGGCAUCGUUAAAUGAAGUUUCAAGCGUACACAAGGUUGAACAAAAUUGUUCAUUGAUUGAAUCCUCUCCAAGUAGUGACUUUUGCUUCUUUAAUUUUGCCGAUGUGCCACCAUUCAAAGUGUUUACUCGAGCACUACUUUGUUCCAUAAAAAACAUCUCGACAUCAGGAACUUGGGUGGAUGCAUGUGUCAUUAACUCUUCCUCUUCGACGUUCCUUGCAGCAUCAGCAGUAGAUUCUGCACCAGCACUAGUUGUACGAUCUUUUCCAAAUCUAAUCUCACCUAUUGGGACUCAUACCUUGGGGAACCUUCAAUCCAUUUGGUCUUGAUAUUGCAUCUCGAAGCACCCUAGAGUCUACCGCAGAACCCUCCCACCCAGGUAAGAUACACAUAAAUUGCAUGUCUUGUGUACAUACCCCUAGAACAUUAGUGGUAAUAUUCUUAUCCCGGUCUCGGUACCUAGCCUUAUCAAUUUCUGAAACAUGGACCUUAAUAUGAGUCCCAUCCAGUGCACCCAAAUAAUUCUGCAAAUCAGGUGUACAUAUGAUAAAUUUAUGGUUGGUUUGACAAAAAAGGGCCGUUCAAAAAAGUGAACGCAAGGAUAAAAGUUUGCCUACCUUGAACCAUUUCCACCUCUCAUCACUCGAGUUUUCAGGGCCACGUUCAGGCUCCCUUAACAAAACGUCAUGACAACGUAAGAUGGUGGCUAAGACUUUACCAAAUUGUCUACUUAUUGUCUCUCCUGAUCUAACAAAUUGCCUUUUAAUUAUCCUAUUUUUAACAUCAUGUAUAACAAUAUGUAAGAACAUAGAAACCAUCUCCUCUCUUGCAAUCUCCCUCUUGUUGAAAGUAGAUCAUAAAGGGAGUGAAAUGUGUUACAAUCCGUACAUGUUCUUUCAUAACAUGCAAGAUCACUAUCAUAAAUUAUUCUCCUAAUGUGCACAUAUUUUAUAAAACGCUUUUCCAUUGCUUGCCUUCCUCCCCAACGGUGCUUAUUGUGCUGUCUAAAAUUAUAUAGAGUUUGAAGUAAUUUUACAACGCAAAGAAGCCUUUGCAUAUGGAUGAAUGUGGCAAUAAUGCACGCUAACAUCAGGACAAAUUCAGGGGAAGUUGGAUCCAUCUUGAUCUAUACUAAAUUAUGACAAGUGGAAUACGCAUAUAAGUCAACAAGCGCUUAUCAAUAGAUAUAGAGCAAACCCAACAAAUAUAGCAAAGUUAUAAACAACUAACAAUAUAUGCAUAUACAUACAUUUCAAAAAAUGAAUAAAUGUAUGCUCUAUAGGUGGAUAAUCUAGCAUAUAAGUCAACUGCCAUUUUCUUUUAUUAAUCAAAUUUUGCUAUUUAUUAUUUGAAUUGAAACUGGACUCAAUGAAACUAGUCCAAUUGAACUCCCUAAAUAGAUAAUCUGCUGUUCUUUUACAUCAACACACUAUAUCAAUUUUAGGGCAUCAAAAAUCAAAAAUCGAAGAGAGAAAAUAUAAAUAAAAAACUAAAACAAAAAUUAAAUGAUAAAAAAUUAAAUAAAAAAUUAUCAUUUACACAUAAAAAAUUAAACUAGGGUUUUUAGGCCAACACAUGAUUAAUUAGGGCAUAAAAAAAUAUAUAAAUUGUUCCCUAACAUUUCCAAAUCAGAUCCGGGAAAAGGGAGACAGAAAAAAAACGAGAUCCAAAACUAGAUUAAUAAGAAUCAAAAAUACCAAAGUGCUUGUUAAGCAUGUCCUGUAGAAAGAUUGCAACUAAAUGAAACAAGACAUGGCUUCAGAUCUGACGAAGUAUUGCAACAGAUCUGUAAUAAACAUGUGAGAAAGAGGCAUAAAAACUCCUUAAAUCGACGAAAAAUGAAAAAAAAAAACAAUUCUCCAAAUCGGAUCUAACUUCAGUUCAUUUCGAAAAGAAUGGGUUUUAGCGACAGAGAAGAAGUGUUUAAAUAUUUAUGCGAAAAUGGCGAAUGGAGGGAAGGAGAUCGCGAAGAUUACCUGGGACGACGGAGCAAUAGAAGGGGAUAGGUGUUCGUGCGAGAGAGAGAGACAGCGUCCUGCGUGCGCGCGCGCGAGAGGGAGAUGGAAACGAUGCGGUUGAUAGGGUACGGCGGGUGUUGCAGGGUAAAAUUGUCAUUUUAUGACAUAAUAGAUAACAUUAUCAGCCUCCAGUCAACUAAGGUACACACCAGUUUGAUAAUAUUUUAUGUUGAAUCUUAGGGCGUGUUUGAUGCGCUUCUUUUUCAUCCCCAAAUCAAAAUUGAAACGAGUAAAUUCGUUUGUGAGUGUUUGAUAUGCAUGGAUCUCAUUCCGAUUUCGAUUUCCGAGUGGAAUGGAAAUUCUCUAAUCACCUUUUUUUCGAAGUUGAAUCCAGACGGAAUGGAUAUUUAUUCGAAUUAAAUUUAUUUUUUCAACUUUUUUAAUUAAAAUUUAAAUUUAAAUUUAGAAAUUAAAAUUUAUAAUUUUAAAUUUUAAUUUUAAUUUGAAUUAAAAAUUAAAAUUUAAUUAAGUACUUUGAAUUUAACUUAUAAAUUUGAAUUUAAAUUAAAUUUUAAUUUAUAUAAAGUUUUAUUUAAAUUUUAUUUAAAACUUAAAUUAAAUUUAUGGAUUCAAAUUAAAAUUUAAAUUAUAAUUUUAAGUUUAAAUUUGAAUAAAUCGAAAUUUAGUUUUAUAUUUUGAAUUAUCCACUUAACUUCAAAGUUUAAUUUUUUAAAAAUAUAUAUAUUUAAAAUUUUGACAUUAUUUCAAAAUUUUGAUAUAAAUUUUUAAUAUUUAAUUUUCAAUUUGAAUUUAAAUUAAUAUAUUAUAAAGAUAAUGUUAGUAUAUUAAUUUGAUUACGCUUUUUUUAUCUACGUGAACCAAACACCGACAAUAUGAAUGAUUUAUUUCGAUUCCAAUUCAGGUAACGAACCAAACAGAAUUAGGUAAUGAGUCAUUCUGAUUCCGAUUCUAGCUUAUUUCGAUUCCGAUUCUGAUUUCCGUUCCAACUUCGAACCAAACGCACCCUAAACAUCUUUUGUAAUACUGUAAUAUCGAGCAGAUUAUAUACCAUAUGAAUCAAACACAGCAAUCAUGGCAUGAUUGUUUGUAAUACUGCCAAGAUAACACAAACCAAACAUACCUUUUUUAAAGGCGUGUUUGGUUCGUGUUAUAUAGCAUUACAAGAUAUUUCAACAUAACUAGGUAUAUGAGAUUUCUGAAUUAAAUUACUACUGAUCUUACAUUAUCACGUUUGGUUUAAUACAGUAAUACAAUGCUACAUUAUAAUAUGUAUGGAAUUAUAAUAUUUGGUUCAUUUUAUAAAAUUUAAUAAUCCUGACAAUAAAAUAUACCCACAAUCGCCCUUAUGUUAUAUUUGACAAAAUGUAAAACUUAAAAUAUAAAUGUGAAAUUUAAAAAUUUAAAAAUUUAUAAUUUAUAAUUUAAAAUUUGAAAUUUAAAAUUUGAAAUAUAAAUUUAAAAUCUAAAUUUAGAAUUUAAAAUUUAAAAUAUAAAUUUGAAAUUUAAAAUUUAAAAUUCAACAUUUAAAAUUUAAAAUUUUGAAAAUUGAUUAAAAUUUUAAAUUUUUAAAUUUAGAAUGUGAAAUUUAAAAUUUGAAAUUUAAAUUUACAAUUUGGCAAUUCAAAAUUUUAAAUAAAAUUUUAAAAAUGACAUAUACAAAGAGUUUGGGAGAGGGGUUGGGGAAGUAAAGUUGUAACUUAACAUAACAUGCAAAAUUACUCGCCAUCAUUAAUACAAGAUACUCACCCCCCUGCUCGGUAAUAUUUUUGAUGUAAUCCUGCACCAUUUGUAAUACUACAUUACCGACCAGAUUAUAGACUAGAAAAAUCAAAUGUAGUAAUCCUGAUAGGAUUGUCUGUUAUCCUAGCAAGAAAGCCUGAACCAAACAUACCGUAAAAAAUUUUGCAAACCUUGAAAUGCAAUCAUCUUGUUGUCAAUACGAAGAAAUGCACCAUCCUCACUAAUAACUCAGUUUUUCUUAGAUACAUGGUAUCAUCCGAAGGACUAAAAAUAGGACCCUUUUAAAGUAGAUGUCAUCCAAAACUAGCCAACUUCGACUAUAGUUAGUUUAAAUUACGAGUUUUCAUAGCCUAGCUUCCUUCUACCAUAAAAGGAAGAAUGUGUUCAACAAAAAGGAUCUUGUUAUGGUCUUACUUCCAAAAUAAAAGAUUUUCAGUUGGUGCGCAUAGCAUAGUAAGCCAGAGGAAUUUUGGUCCUUAUCGCAUCAUCAAAAGAUUGGGGCCUAAUGCCUAACUAGUCAAACUUCCAUAUAGCGUGUCAAUUUCACCGGUAUUCAAUGUAGCCAAUUUAUACAAAUUCCAUGAAGAUCCACAUAUAGUACAUGAAACAAAUGCAUUGCCUUAUCAAGACGUAAGCAAAAGUACCAAAGACCAUAUUGACAUCUGUAAGGACUGAGAUUUUGAUAGUGCAAUUAGACUCACUGUUGAUGAUGUUUAUGUGUGUAAUUUAAUUACAUAAGCAUUCGUCAAGUUUCAGGAGAAAAUGAGUUAGAACGGAGAAGUUACGCGAUUAUUAGUUUUCACUUAAGUGAAUAGUAACUCCGGUUUUCCGGAGAAGCCACGGAGCAGAGUUGGCUUUCGGCGCGUAUCGGACUCCGUUCAUAGCGAUCCAAUAGCUCGUUUCGACCGGUUCAGCUGUUCUGGAACUACUGGCGUUGACGGAUUUUGAGUUUGACGCACGGAUUUCGAGAAAAUCCAAAAAUACGUGUUUUAUAUGUAUUUUGUGCGUAGUUUCUUCUGUUGGAGAGAGGAACGGAUUUCGUUGCGAAUCCGUGAUCAUUCGAGGUGAUCCAAAAUAGUAGCUUUGUUGUCUCUGAGGUGCUGAUCGUACUGGUGCGAUCCGUUCGCAAAUCUGACGGACGGAUCUGCGGAGAUCGCACGUUGAUCGAGGAGAGGUCGGUGUUGGUAAAACGAUAUUUUCGCAAAAGUCGCGACAUUUUAUGUACCGUUUCGCGUGAAAUCGCACGUGGAGGGGUAUUCAUGCGUUUUACUUGUGCUGUGAGGGACUAGGAAUAAAUUGUUGAGUCUUGGUGAACUUUUUCGCAAAGUUUCUCCUUGGUAUAGAUUCAUUCUAGGGUUUUCUUGGAACCCUAACCCUACUAGCCAGUUCCAGCAAACCCUAGCCGCCCCCUUGCUUCCCUUGCCCUAGCCGCUCGCCUUCCGGUCGCUACCGACCAAGUCCGGCCGGCCGCCGCCGCCGCAGCACCACAUUCCUCCCUCCCCAUCUCUCUCCAUCUCCUUUUUCUUCCGGGUUGGAGCUCGGGCCGAGGUUAUAUUGUCUCAAAGCACCUUGUCGAUGUCGCCCCGACCCCUCAGCGUCCCUCUCCGCCGAUCGCCGCCGCCCCGAGCCGCCCGGAGCGCCGCCGCUGCCGCUCCAGCCGCUGCUGUAUCCUGCAGCUUCCCAGCCCGAGCCCAGGCCGAGUCUAACCCGCGGCCUCCCCGCGCGCAGCCACCGCAUGAACCCGCUCCCGCCGCCGUCCCCGGAGUCUCGGUGGCCCUCCCCGCAGGUCGCCGGCGCCCCUGCGGGCCGCCACCGCCGCCUCGGCCAGCAGCAGCCGCCCCAGCCCGAGCUCGGGCUGAGGUCUCUGUGCGCCCUCUCCUCCGCGCCGCAGCCACCUGGGGUCGCUCCCGCGGCCGUCUCCUGUGUCCCACCGACCUUCCCGGCCGGUCGCCGCCGCCCUUCGGGCCGCCGCCGCCGCCCUGAACCCUGGGCGCCGCCGCCCAGGUCUGCAACCGAGCCUAGCUCGAGCGGCAGCGCUCGAGCCGUGGGCUGCCGCUGCUGCCGCCCGCCGCCUCCCUUCUCCUCCUCCGGCAUCUGGGGACCCGCCGCUGUCGUCCCCGACCUGUCCCGGCCAUCGCCGUCGCUGGGAGGAGCCGCUGGACCGUGCCCUAGCUUGUGCGGGCUCGGCUCGUUCCGCCGUCGCCGCCCCCACUCUCCGCCGCCAACCGAGGUGAGCAUCGUGUUCCUCACCUCCCCCGCACCCAUCUCUGGCCUGCGCGCACCUCGGCGUGCCGCCGGAAGCCGGCCGGAGCAACCUUGCUCCGGCCAAGCCCGAAAUAGGGCUUAAUUUGAAUGCUUUACUGUUCCGAGCAACCCGAGCCUCCCCGAUCUCUGCGGAAGGGAGCACGAUGAUCGUAGUAAAUUUCUGAUCAUCGUGCUCACCUUAUUUUCUGUCGGGGAGACUCCGUUCCGCUUUUUCGGCAUUGUCGACCCUGUAGAGCCUGUUUGGCUGCUGUUGCGGGUUUGCACACACUUUGGCGGUGAUCCGAGGCUGUCCCGAUGCCUCUGGAGGUGAGCACGGUGAUCGUGGAUCAGUGCUGAUCACAGUGCUCACCUUAUUUUGGAUCAGCGGAUGUCGUAUCGUUCUGUUUGGUGACUUUUUCCCCGACUACGCGCUGUUCGCAGAACCUUCGGGUUGCUCCCGCGCUUCCCACAGUGACCUGUUGCGCUCCAGACCGUGAGCACGGCCUCCGGCACGUCGAGACCUAUCAGUAUGUGUCUCAGCAGAACUUAGAAGUCCUCGGUUUGCGUGUACGGGCUAUGUUAUUGCCCGAUUUACAUAAAAUAUUGGGAUUUUAUGUAAAUUCAGGGGCUUUUGUGCAAUUGUGCGCCUUGGGGCUACUGUGGACAGUGUGUAGACAUGUGUGGUGUCCUCUGGACUGAUUGUCCAUGAUCCGUUAGCUUUUGCAGAAAUCGAAGAGUCGAUUUCGAUGCGUUUUUCGGCGAAAUUCGCCGAAAGAACGCGGUUUCGGUUCGGAUUUCUUCCGACGUCGUUUGGUUGCUCUGUGAGUGGUCAAUAAGCCUUGUUGGCUGGUCACCAUCAUCACCUUGUGGGUUCGGUGAUGACGGGUGAGCGACGGUGGGUUCCGGUGUCGAAUUUGACACUUCCGGGAACCCGUAUUCGUACAAUUAUCCGGCGAUAAUUGUGUCGUGGUGUUAUCUUAUGUUUGCUGCCAAAACAUCCAAAUUGGAGUGUUUUGUGGCAGCGGGUGACUUGUAGCAUGGGUCGGUGCGUUCCGGGACAUUUCAAUGGUCCUGACGGAGUCCCGGUGCGAUUUUCGGGACUUCCGGCAAGUUACGGUAGUCGGUUUUGAGAAACUGAUCUCCGUGGGUUUGUUAGAGGGAUUAUGAUGUAGUGUUUCUUAGUUGUGGGUUAGACACUAACCCAGUGGACCCUCCUUAGGUCCUGUUGACGUUCUUUUGCAGUCAGGAGACAGGCGCGACAGUUGUACAGGUGGGUACUUCGAUCCGACGUUGGUACAGUGGUGCACGCUCGGUGAUGGUUUCUUACCCUUGCUCUUUUGUUAUUAUCCAUGCGUAUAUUAUAUGUUGAGCUUUGCACCUCUAUCGUUUACAUUACACCCACGUUGUUUGAUUUUACUCUACUAAGACAUUUCCAUGCUUAGUAUCAUGUGUAGGAGUAUAGUCUAUCCGUAUGUGAUACCAUGUUUCCUUGUUGCUCUACUUAGCUAUUCUGCAUACCCUGAUUCGUGUUUAUAGUAGAGCGAUUUCGUGAUUAUCUAUGAGAUCAGCGAUCUAGUCGGUCGAUUCUAGUAUUCAGUAUUUAUGACCUAUUCGGUCGAGUUGCUACAGUUCUAUCUAUAUCUGUGAUUUGGUUGGGCGGUUCCCCUAUUUUGAUAUCUAUGACCUAUUCGGUCGAGUUGCUACAGUUCUAUCUAUGUCUGUGAUUUGGUUGGGCGGUUCCCCAUUUGAUAUCUAUAACCUAUUCGGUCGAGUUGCUAUAGUUCUAUCUUUACAUACGUAGCCGAUUAGUUGCUGAUGGCCUAUACGGUCGGUGUACCCUGAGGGGCUGGAUUGUCGGCUAGUUGCCGAUGGAUGAUCUUUGAGCAUACUACAUUGAUCGCCACUGCAGGUACGCAUUUCACGAACACCAGCGGUCUGAUCCACCGCAAGAGGGUGUUCUUUUCCGGAAAAGUGGUUGGAUUGCCAACCCGUGAGCCCGGGGGCUUUAUUGCGAGGGUAUAUGCUUCUGACCCAGGGGCUUCAUUGCGAGGGUCAGGUACAUGUUUCUGACCCAGGGGCUUCAUUGCGAGGGUCAGGAACAGGUUGAGCAGUGUGACAUGGGCCUGAGGUCCUCGGACCAAUAGGGCAGCGAGAUUGGGUAUUUUUGAGGUUAUCGUCAGUUGACGCAUGCAUACAGUAGCUGUAGUGUUUAUUUUCAGUACAUCCUUAUCUGUUUAUUGUAGCUACUGUUUUAUUUACCUGGAUCUAUACUUGUCAGCUCCUUACAUAUCUCUUUCGUUUACUAUUGUUCCUACUAUAUUUUCACUGACCCGUACUGUUGUUUAGCUAUUCCUGAUCUGGUGAGUACUCCUCGCCUUCAUCGGCUUGCGGUACCCACUGGGAGGGGAGACAUGUUUACAUGUUCUCCCCCCCCCCACCAUUUUUCAGGUAUCGCAGGCGAUGGGUAUUGAGACGAGACGUGAGGCACGUAUGUAGCGGUCGUUAGAUCUUCCGACCCAGGUUAUUCGGUUUAGCUUUUACCCUUAUUAUUUAUGUUGAUAUAGAGCUUAGUUGACUUAUAUGGUUCAGUAUUUUUAUUACAUUUGAACAUGUGGAUUUUCAUGAAUGUAAUAAAAGGAUUUUUGAAUUUUGUAAAAUCAAAGGUUUUCUACCCCUCGUGGUAGCGUUUUUUUAAAGAAUAAAGGUUUCCGUGUAGGGAACAGUUUUCAAAAGAAUUUUCGUGGAUUUCGGUUUAAACACUGAAUGUAAAACUGUGAUGUGAAUGGUGAACGUAUGAAUGUAUAGUUAUCUUUAUAUUCAUCUAGUUGUGGUUGUAUCCUGGUUGUACUUUUGUACUUGUGCGACGCCGUGCAAAUACAGGGGAGACUCUGUCCGUGUGAAUUAACAGUGGAUUCCCUGUAUUUGUGGCGGAUCUAGCAUACCCUGGGGUCAGGUUUGCAAAAAAAAAAAAAAAAAAAAUUCCGCUGUGUUUUUAAACUGAAAUGGACCCCGGGGCGUGACAACAUCAUGGACGUGCGUGUAACAACCACACGUCGAGUGACAUGAUAUUCUUUUUUAAGUGGGGAGGACAGCCAUUAUCAAAUUGUAGCUAGCUAGAAGAAGCUGAACUUCGAAGUCUUCUCAAUGACUUGUAUGAGAACUACAUAGAAUCUAUCUCCACAGGGUCGAGAUCUCUCCACCACGAAGGAAAUGAUGCGGGCAUCAACUAGCUUUCAUUAGUGGUAAGUCUCUUAAUAAACUUCAGUCAUAUGUUUUAAUUGGACAAGUUGAGGAUAACCCAACAUAAAACACACCUAAACUAAACCUUUCCUAGACCACAUUUUAAUUGGCUCAUUCUUUUCUUCUCCACCUGAGCCUAUAUCGAACAUUCUCUCUCUUAUGACUGCUGCGAUUAUUUUUGGACGUCUCAUUAUGAGUUGAUAGCUGAAACACCGGCUUCCACUACCUCUUUGAAAGAUGGUUUGGUCUCUCUGUUUGAUGCCCCUAUCGUAUAGAGCAGUAAUUAUGGUCUGAAGCAAUUUGUUGUUGAUUUGCUGUUGAAAGCUGAUCUAAAAUAAAAAGGAAAUAAAGUUGAGUUAUUAGUUAUGAUACCUUUUCUGAAAAAAGUACAAACCUAAUCCAAAGCUCUCCACUUCCAUUAGUGCCUAUCUAUAUCCACUUUGAAACCCCUCACUCAAACCUAAACCAUCAUCCUCCACUCAACAAACAUGAACACAAUAUAAUUAAAACUCUGGACUUAAGUUUGUUUGAGACUAGUUAGGAAGUUUUGAUUUGUUGCUUUGUUAUUGAAAUGUUACUUUAAUAAGUCAUGAUUUAAUUAAGUUUUUCUUUGGCCUUAUUUCCUGUUAGGAUUCAUCCGCAUUGGAACUUAUCAAAAAUAUUUCUAAUCCAUAUGGGAUAAGAAAUAAAUAUUGGUACUUAUCUGAGAUAUUUCUAGUCCACAUAGGAUAAGGAAUAAAUCUAACAAAUAAAUCCUAAUCUGUUUUAAUCUCUAUCUAUGAGAGAUUUAGUUAGAAUAUGAUUAGGAUUAAUGUCUCCCUUGUGUUUUAAUCUCUAUCUAUGAGAGAUUUAGUUAGAAUAUGAUUAGGAUUAAUGUCUCCCUUGUGGCCUAUAAAUACAUGAGAUAUUGACCACAUACAAGAUACGAAAAAAAAAAUUAGAAUCAUCUCUCUAUAAAAUUCUCUCUUGGGUUCGCUCUAGGGCACCAUCAAAAACCCUAGGGAUUUGCGCGGUGUGCUGCGUUCGUAUAACAUACCGAAAUAUAGGUGGAAUAUAUUGGACUUUAGCCAAAUUGGCCAAAGUGCCCGAAAGAAAUAGUUGCACAAGUUCCGUUAACAUUCCAACCGUGUUGGAAGGGCUAAAAAGGAGUUCUAAAAAUUAGGAAAGGUUUUAGCGAUAAUCAGAGCUAAAUAAAGUCAAAAAGACGCAAAAAAUAGAAAUCUGGAGCUUGUGUACCGGUACCAUGUGAUGGUUGUACCGGUACAACCAUCGCUUACCGAGGGAGAAAGCUCUCGGGUUUGAGCUGGAAAAAGGCUGUGUACCGGUGACAGGAUUUCGCAUACCGGUACGCAGUGUAAAAUCCGAGAAGAUGGCUCUCGGUUUUGGCUGUUGUGCGAGUCGUGUACCGGUGACACCAGCCCGUAUACCGGUACGCUGUAGACCUGACAGCAAAAAAUUAGUCUGCUGCAAAUAUGAAUGUUUGGGGGGUUUAUUUGCAAUUGUUACCUACUAACAAAUAACCCAAGCCCUCUCUCCCUGCAGCAGCUCACCCUCUCUCUCCCUCUCUCGUGUUCCCCUCUCUCUCUCAACCGUGGGAAGGGAAGGAAGGGAAAGAGAAGGAAAAAGAGAAUAGAAGAAAAGAAGAGAGAAGAAAGGAAUGAGAAGGAGAUCAAGAAGAUGAGCUCACCUUCAUCUUCAUCUUCCUCGUGCUUGGAGCAAGCUAGUGAGGUAAGUCUUUUACCUCCUCUCAUGGUAGGAUCAAGGUUAGGGUUUGGGUUUUAAACCCUAGAUCUAGAGAUUUAAAGCUUCUUGCAUGUUUAGAAGCCUCUUGAGGCCAAGAACAUCAUGAAACCCAUGGUCUUCUCAUGAUGCUCUAAUGGUGAAAUUCUAGGGCUAGCUCUAGGUGCCCUAGAAAUGGUUUGAAUGCUCCUAGUGGAACUCCUAGAUAUUAAACAAGCUCUCUUUUGCUUGUUUUGUAAAUCAAAUCCGGAAUAUUGAGCAUAAGUCAUGUUAGGGCAUCCCAAAGAGGGGUUUUGCUCAUAUGAGGUUUUGAUCUAUUUUGACCUCUUGGAAACCUAAUUGGGGACCAAACGAACGCGUUGGCGAAGUCGGUUUGACCAUUCGUCGAGUGUACGCGAAGUUAUUGACAAAAUAUUUUGUCGUACAGAUGGCCGCAGCACGCGGAAUAGACGCCUAAAAAUCAUGAGAUCGGAACCGGAGCACCUUGGAGUCAAGGAAUAAACUCCGGAAAAGACGGAUCGCGGUUCAGAGGUCGUUCGCUAGUCGCGCAAGAGUUCGGGCCAAACCGGGCAACGGUUGCCGCGGGAGGCCGAUUGCAAGUGACUACAAGCAAUCGGAGUGCAAGUCAAGGUGGGUUGUAUUUACCGAAGCGACUAGGUCGCUUGUAUAUCUAAGAUACAUAUUUAUCAUUGAUGCACGUAGUGGUUACUAGUGUUAGAACACAUGAAUGUUAUGUUAAGCUACCACAUUUUGUAUAUGGAUACAAUGUAAGAAUGCUAAGUAAAUGCUUAGAACGAUAUUAGCUAAAGACAUGAGAUAAAGGGUUAUUGCAUGUUAAUAUAAAGUAGAAAGCAUGCUAGUGAUAAUGCCUAAUGGCAAGUUGAGAAUGAUAAGUAAAGGACUUGUGUAUAUGGACAUAAAUGCACCUAUAGAUCGAGUGGCAUUGAACCUAGUGUCAAGAACAUAGGUCGAACAAAUGUGGCAUGAACCUAAUGUUAGUAAACAUAGGUUGGACAAGAGAAAUAAUGAACCUAGUGUUGAUGAACAUAGGUUAAAUAGGAAUGGCAUUAAACCUAAUGUUAGAGAACAUAGGUUGUGAGAUAAAGAUAACGAAUCUAAAAUCACAUGAACCUAGGUGGGCUAAGGUAAUGAACCUAGAGUUAAUAAACCUAGGCUAUGAGUAUGGAGGCAGCGAACAUAAAGUAUUAACUUAGGUUGAGUAAAGGCUUGGACCUAGAUAGGUCAAAUCUAUAGGGAUAAGACCAACCCUUAUGUGAUGUGAAAUGGAUUCCGGAAUCCCAAAGCUAAAUGGAUACACUGAGAGGGGUGUGGGGUGUGUGCGACGAUUUCGCCGCCCAGGGGCUAUAGAACCAUUGUCGUGGCGUGUGCGACGAUUUCGCCGCCGGAUGGUUAGCCGGUUAGUGGAUCAUACCGCCUGUUGACUGAACCAUCGACGUAGCGUGUGCGACGAUUUCGCCGCCGGGUGGCUAAGUCAAGACCUAGGCUGUUGUUGGGUGAGGUGCGAUGCGUUCGCCGCCAAACGGCUAGGACAGGAGUACGGUAGGCUGUGGUUACCUGAGGUGCAUGUAAGAGUUCCUUUACCUCGAACUAGACAGUGCGCGGACUAUCCGCGAUUGAUUGACUCAAGACCGAGUCGAGUGGCAUAGUUGGCUAAGUUAAAGUAACCUUAGAAAAGAACAGCAAAUGCUAAAGUAUAUCAACGAUCAAGAAUGUCAAAGAAUAAAGAAUCGCCAAUGAGUAUAAUGUAACAAGGAAAUAAUGUAAAGAAUAGCUAAUGAAUGAGAAUAGCUAAAUACGUAAAGAACGGUUACAUGUAAAGAAUGACUAAUAAUAUGUAGUAGAAUCAAGUAAACUACUUGCAUGAGUUACAGGUUUUGCAUAUCGCAUUUUGUGAGGCAUGUUAUCUGUUAGUUGCAUAAUAACAUGAUGAUAUAUAUAUAUAUAUAGAUGUUUUUGGACUAAUAUUGUCACGCCCCGAGACCGCUCCCAAUUUGGUCCGGUUCGGGCAUGCCGACAGACCGCCGAACGGACAGAGUUUCCCCUGUACGUCCUAGGCGUCGCAACAAGUACAAUACAAAGGUUCCAACCAGGAACAGUACUCAGCAAACAGAAUUGCAUCAGGAAGGUAUCAAUCAACAUAAACACAUCCUAUGAUAUUACAUCCAUUCAUUUUACAUCACAAUUCCAUUACAUUCAACUUCCAAUACAAUUGUUAUUACAACAUUUAUUGAUUAUAAUUUGAUACAUUUGCUUACUUUCAUUUUCUAUACCCCUAAGCUACGUCGACGGGGUACUGCUAGCUCUGGUCUCUGGGGGUAGGGCGCUAUCUAUGGAGCUACGCCCUUGCCUCGCGCCGCCGCGCCGCUCACGUGCGAACCUGUAAAACCCCAAAACAACGUGGGGUGAGAACCAACUCCAUAGUUCCCAGUGGGUACGGCUACCCAAGGGAGGAGCUCGACCAACAGGUCCAAGGGAGGCAAAUACAAGUUAGUCCAAUAAACAGAUAGAUAUGUAUAUCAUAAACAUGCAACUAACUUUACCUUACUUUGCCUCACAACAACAAUGAUGUCAUGCUAUAUGCAACAGGAAUAUAUGCAACAUGAAUAUAUUCAACAACUAGUAGAAUUGUUGAUUCUACAAUCGAUCUGGCUAACUCUAGUUCAUAUCAUCCAACUCUAAGGUUUCCACUACCUUAGGUUUAUCACAUUUACCACUAGCCCUCAAGGUUCUAUCUACCUUAUUCCAGCUAGCCACCCGACUCGGCCUCGAGUCAAUCAACAGCGGAUAAUCCGCGCUCUGCCCGGCUCGAGGUGAAGGAUCCUGUCGCAUGCACCUCAGCCUGCAAGCCAAGAACCACAUCGCCCAACGGUCCGCCCGAAGGUCCGUGCACCGUGGUCAGGGAUCCGUUAGUGGGAGAGGAAACAUAGCCGCGUACACCCAUAGCCAAGAUCCCCGAUAGGGAGAGGAACAUGCCGUACACCCUAGCGCUCUUUGUUCUUGCUUAGUCAUAAUCCUCAAAGUUCUUUCCGGUGGGAGAGGAACAUCGCCGCAUACACCCGCGGUCCAAGAACUAUUGAGUUCACAAGUACUGGGAUUCCGGAAUCGACUUCACAAGUCAAGGGUCCAUAUCCAACCCUAUACUAUUGACCUAUCUAGGUCCAAUGCACUUUCCACCCUAGGUCCAACUGACUCUAGGUCUAAUGCCUCAAUUUCACAACCUAGGUUUACCUUAACUCUAGGUUCAGUUCUCAACCUAUGUUCUUUAACACUAGGUUAGAUGCCACACACCUAGAUCCCGACUCUAGGUUCAUACUCAACCUAUGUUCUUUAACACUAGGUUAGAUGCCACUCGUUAUUUAUCCUAGGUUCAACAACACUAGGUUCAAUGUCAUCUAGGUUCGACCUAUGUUUAUUAACACUAGGUUAAUGCCACUCGAUCUACUUGAUAUCCUAUUUGUCAUAUCGAGUCCAUAUGCACAUGCAUCUUAUCUAACAUGCUCACAUGAUGUUACAUGCACCUAGCAUACAUUCCAAUGCACACAUACAUAUCACUUGCAUUAUCACUAGCAUGUAUUCUAUAUCAUAUCAUUUUACAUGGAUCUACUUAGCAUUUGCAUCAUAUUAUUAACAUGCAUUAUUUACAUUUAUAUGCAUCAUCUAUAUGCCUCAUUUACAUUCAUAUGCAUCAACGUGGAUUCUUAAUCAUCUUAGACAUAAAGGGCGACCUAGUCGCUUCGGUAAACACAACCCACCUUAACUCGCGUUCCGAUUGCUCGUCGACACUUGCAAUCGGCCUCCCGCGGCACCCGUGACCCGGUUCGGCUCGAACUCUUGCGCGACCACCCGAACGGCCACCAAUCCGCGAUCCGUCUAUUCUGGAGUUUAUUCCACGACACCACGAUGCUCCCGAUCCGUUCUCAUGAUUUUUGGAGGCUUAUUCCGCGUGCUGCGGCUAUCUGUACCAAAACAGACCGUUUCGUCAAUAACUUCGCGUACACUCAUCGUAUCGUCGAACCGAGCGCACCAACGCGUUCGUUAUACCCCCAAUUAGGUUUACAGAGGGUUAAAUGAGAUCAAACCCAUCUAUUUACAAAAAUCCCAUUUUUGAGCCCUAGUUUGCGACUACGGCAAAAUACCCCAAAUCGAUCUCCGAUUCAUGCAUUAAUCUACUCAUAAGCAUGCUAGGAUUCCAUCUAAACCAUUCUUAGAGUGUAUUAACCAAACCCUAAGAAAUCACCAUUAAAGAGCUUCCAAGAAGCUUACCUCCUAAAGCCUCUCCAAGCACAAGGAAGGAAUGAAGAAGAUGGAAAACUCUUCCUCUUCUUCUUCUUCUUCUUCUUCCUCUUCUCCUUCUUCUUCUUCUUCUUUUCUUCUAUUUCGUUUAGAGAGAGAGAGGGGUGGUGUUGGGGUUGAAACGGUGAGGGAAAGAGAGAGAGAGAGGUUCUACUCCUCUCUAUACACUUAACCCAUGUAACAUUUGCAGGAAAACCCCUCAACAAAGCCUCUCUUGCAACAGCCCGAACUGGGAAUUUUCGGGGUUCGGGGACCGGUCUCUACAUGAGGGACCGGUCUCUGAGAGACCGGUCUCUCUACCUGGGACCGGUCCCAGAGAGACCUCCAGCCCAGACUUAGCCAAUUUUCAGCUUCGUCCGUUUUCGCUCCGUUUUCGCCCAUUUUCGUUCGUUUGACCUCCGAUUCGUCUCAAAUCGAACCGAGACUCUCCAAACAUGUUUUUAAACAUGUUUUCAUCAUCUUUCCAUCCUCGCUAAUUCCGGAUUUAGCUCACGGCCCAAUUUAGCCUUUCGGGUUCCGUUUCCGCGCCUAUGCGCACCGAAACGCCCGAUAGCUCCCGAACCUCACCGAACUUCACCCGAACCAUUCAAAUAGCUCCCCAAUCGAAUAUACACCGUAACUUAAUAGUUUUAGAAGUCCGGUAUCUUACAAAUAUGAUUGCAGUGCCUCCUUGGACCUAUUGGUCGAGCUCUUCCCUUGGGUGGCCGUACCCACUGGGAACCAUGGAGUUGGUUCUCACCCCACGUUCUUUUGGGGUGUUACAGGUACACACGUGAGCGGCGCGGUGGCGCGAGGCAAGGGCGUAGCUCCGUAGGUAGCGCCCUACCCCAGAGACCGAGGUAGCAGCACCCGAGUUGAUGGUCUAGCUUGAGGGGUUUAGAGACAAAGUACAAACUUGUAAUAAAUUGUAAUAAUUGUGAUUGUAUUUGGAAGAUGAAUGUAAAAGAUAAUGUGUUGUAACAUUUAUCUAAGUUAAAUGUUGUGAGAUCGGAUCCAGAUAUUAUUUUGGGUUAUUUGCAUACACGUCCCUACAAACAUAGUGAAUUGCAGAAAUAUCCCUGCAAAUUGGAAACUCCAUAAGUUGUCCCUGCAAAAGUGCAAUGUUAUGCAGAUAUGUCCCUGCGGUCAACAUCCGUUAGUGAACUGAUUAUUUUUUAACAGUUGAAGAGUGAAAUGACAUUUUUGCCCUUGCAAAUAUAUCCCUCCGAAGCCCUAACUGAUAAACAUUUGCAAAAAUAUCCUCGCAAAAAUGACAACGGUCAUUUUUGUUCUUUAUAAGUGAAAUGUCCAUUUUGCCCUCACAAAUAUAUCCCUCCAAAACCCAAAGUAAUAAAGUUGUACAGAAAUGUCCCCAAAAAUGACCCUAACGGUCAUCUUUUUCCUCUAUAAAUUCAUCACUCCAUUGCAACAUAUCAUAUAACUCUUUUUUUGCUCUUUUCUCCUUUAUUGAUCCACUAUUUUCCUUCUUCUCUCAUUUUGAUCUGUUAAAUCGCAGCAACUUUACUUUUCGAUUUUUUUUUCUCUUCUAAUAUUUUUAUGAUGAGUGAAAGAUCAGCGGAUUCUUCUUCGAGCAACCAAAUCCCUAAGUGCGAUUGCUUUAAAACUUGUAGAAUUUGGGUUUCAAAGCAACCGCACACUAGAGGUCGUCGGUUCUAUGGGUGUCCAAACUGGGGGGUAAGAUAAUUUCUUUUGCAUUAUCUGCAGUAUUUAACCCUAACUUUAAAUUUUAACCAUUUACUAAUUAGUUUCAUAUUUUGCAGAGUAAUGAGCACUAUAAUUACUUUGGUUGGAUUGAUGACGCACACCACAAUACUGUUGACUUAAAAUACCAAGUACAAGCAUUUCAAGAAGCAGUGGAGCAUCGUAUUCAGAAGUUAGAAAAGAAAGCUUUAUUUCUACUUAAGUUGCUUGUAUGUUUAGUAUUGACUAAUAUCUUGUUUAGUUUGACAAUGUAAUGUGAGUGAUAAUUGUACUUGUUGUAAUGCAAGUGAAUAGAGAUGUGUAAGCUUUAUUUCUACAUGCAUUUUACAGAGUAAUUGAAGUAUCCAAAGUCAAUGUUGUUCCACAAAGUAUAAGCUUUAUUCUACAAAGUAUCCAAAGUCAAUAUUGUUCCAUACAAACAUAGUAUCCAAAGUCAAUGUUGUUCCAUACAAAUAUAGUAUCCACUGUCAAUGUUGUUCUAUACAAACAUAGUAUACACAAUCAAUAUUGUUUCAUACAAACAUAGUAUCCACAGUCAAUGUUGUUCUAUACAAACAUAGUAUCCACAGUUAAUAUUGUUCCAUACAAACAUAGUAUCCACAGUCAAACCAAUAUAAAGUCAAAAUGAUCCACAAAAGUAGAACCAAAUACAACACAUAUCUAUUCAAACCAAAACAACUGCUAUUCAAGUUUCAAACCAAUACAAACUCAAAACUAUUGCAUCAAGUUUCAUAUCUAUUCAAACCAAAAUAUUGCAUACAAAUCAUCCAAGGGUCUCAUUUCAAGUACCUAUUUCGAAUUGAAGUAUCCAGAGGCUGAUUUUGCACAAGCAUCUAGAGGCUGAUUACAUACAAACCAAAAUAUUGCAUCCAAAGGCUGAUUGCAUACAAACCAAAAUACUAGAUACAAGCAUCUAGAGGCUGAUUGCGCUUCAAGUAUCGACCAUUUCAAGUAUCUACCAAAAUACAUCCAUUCAAAUCUACCAAAAUAAGGCUUUUACUACAUCAGCUGUUUUUCUAAACCAAAUCUUAAUUUUCUAGAGAACCAAGUGCAUCAAUUUCACUUAUAGCACUUCUUUGUUGGGACUGCAAGUGUUUUGAUCUCGAUACUACCCUUUUUCCUCUACGCCUGCAAUUUUUAUAUAGUUACUAACUAUUGUAGCAAAGAAAAUAAAUUUAAAGUGAACAUUGUUGGUCAGUAUAGUACCUUGUGCGACUGCUAAUACUUGCUUGAGAUGGUGGUUCAGAGUGCGGAUUCCCUGCUUGAGACGGUUCUGUAAGCUGUUGAUUUGUUGCUUGAGAUGGUGCUGCAGCAGGCUGUUGAUUUGCUGCUUGAGAUGGUCCUGCAGCAGGCUGUUGAUUCGCAUCGACAGGGUUCUUGCAUGUUUUUGCACGGUGGCCUAAUUUAUUGCAUCUUUUGCAUCGAUGCCUCUUCCUGAUUGUCAUCUCGUCUGAUCCUCUAAUUCGCUUGUUUCGUGGUCUUCCAGCUGGCCUAUUUAAAAUAGGAGGUAAUACACGAUGACCGAUGUCAAUCUUUACCCAUUGAUCACAACUGGGUAAUGGUGCAAUGGAACUAGCAUAGGCCUCCUUAUAUUUGGCCACUGUAAAAUAUGGGUGCACAUAUUUUUCCCACUUUUCAUGUUUUAAUUUACCUAUUACUGCCAUUGCAUGAAUGCAUGGCACACCUUUCACUUGCCAUAACCUGCAGCUACACUGUGUUUCAUGUAGUCUCACCUCAAACCUUGAUUGAGGUCCAAUCACUUCUGCUGAAAAUUCAUCACUCCAUAGCACCUCAUAUUGACCCAAACCCUAAAAUUAUGACGAUGGAUAGCAUAAAUAAAUUAGAUUAUAUCUAAUAAAGAGGCCAAAGUAAUUAGAUUAUAGCUUAAAGGUAAAGAAAAAAUUAGUAAUCAUGAAAAGUAAUUAGACUAUAGCUUAAAUUAGAUUAAAUUAGAUUAAAUUAGAUUAAAAUCAGUGUAAUACCUUGCUUAUAUAUUGUUUACAUAUUUGAGAACCGUUUGUACAAUUUCAUGAUCCCAUUUUCUUGCUCUAUUUUUUCUAUCCUCCAUCUUAACCAUUAUUUUUUGCCGGAUAGUAUCGAGCAUAUCAAUCUGUUAAAAUCGGAACGGCGAAAAAUAGAUCCAGAAAAUAAUUUAAUGCAAGAAAAGAAAAGAUAAGAAAAGAACACACCGAUAUUUACGUGGUUCGGCCAACGGCCUACGUCCACGGGCGAAGACGGAGCAAAUAAUUUAUUAAUGUCGAAAAGGCGGAGUACAAAGAAGAUCUCUCAAAAGACCAAAACGUAAUUAGAUCCGAAACGCCGCAAUUAGCAUCCGUACAAAACUUAAGUGGCUCGACCCUCUUACCGAAGCGCACCACGUCGCACGUCCCAGUUGUGGUACGGACAUAAGCAUCAAAGAAGAGAUGGCUCGACUCAAUAGAUACUUUAAUUAAGCAUCACCUCUUAAUUAAGGCUUCGGCUCCUCGUAGAGACCAACCUGCAUGGCUCGGUCAACUCUCCUCAAAUAUAUAGCUUAAUUACAUCAUAGCUUAAUUUUGAGUCGAGGCUGCUUCUUUACCGGACGGAGCACCAACACCUUAAUUAAUUUCCAUGGCUCUUAAUCUUUUGGUCGCGACUUCUUUAAUUUGGCCGUAGCAUGUAUUUAUAAUACAUGUCUCCUAACUAGAGUCUAAUUCUAAUUAGAUUAGAAUUACACUCCUAAUUAUAAUCCAUAUAUGCCAAAUUAAAUCUAAAUAAUAUCUAAUCCCAAUUAGAUUAGGAUUUAUCCUCAAUUUAGAUAACUACAAAUCUAAACCAAAUAUAACACAAUCAAUGGUCUAUGCCUAUCAUUAGAUAUCCAUGCGUUGAAUGAUUCAGAAAUAUUGUUAGUCAAGUAAUCACACUUAGCAAUCGUUCCGAAUUUACUUCGACUCCACAAAUAACUAUGGUUUUGCCGCAAGUAUUCAAUAGCCAUUGGAUUUGCUUCAUACACCUUAGCGAUGCUAGUUUCGUAAACAUUAGGUAUAUAUGCUUUCGCUGCGGCCCACAGAUUGUCUCUAUAGCAGUCCCCAAGAAAUUUUUUUUUGAAGUUGCCAUAAAGAUGGCGCAUGCAUUCUCUAUGUUCAACUCUUGGAUACACAACUUGAACGGCCUCAUCUAAGCUUUUUUGUCUAUCCGAGAAGAAUACUAGGCCUUCGGAUUCUCCUAUUGCUGUCUUCAACCCAUGAAGAAACCAUUCCCAACUAUUCGAGUUCUCCGACUCCACAACACCAAAAGCUACUGGAAAAAUUGAUUUAUUUCCGUCAAUACUUGUGGCCGAUAUCAAAACUCCUCUAUGCUUUCCUUUGAGAUGACAUCCAUCUAAUGCAAUAUAAGGUCUACAUCCAUUGAGGAAUCCUUGUAUGCAUGGACCAAAUGCAAGAAAAACUCGCUGAAAAUGAUGCUCUUCAUUAAUCACUUGCAGCUUUACUUCCACGUGGCUGCCGGGAUUUCUUCUAACAAUUUCCUCUUUAAAAUUAUAGAUUCUUUGAUACGAAUACUCCCAAUGCCCAUGAAUCUUAGACAAUGCCAUUUCUUUUCCCCUAAAUAUCUUGGAAUAGGUCAAGUCCACAUGAUAUUUUUGUUGCAGUCUCUUCCGCAAUUCAGUUGUAGAUAAAUCUCCUUCCAACCGUAGCCACUCAAUAACCCUAUUGCACACCCACGAUUGUGUUGCCACUUUGUUCCGACACCUAUUGGCCGACGUGCAUGUGUGCUCUCCUUGUAAAGUCUUUAUCUAUCACGUAAAUGUUAGUUAGAAAUAUCAGCAACUUUCAUUUAUAAAUGAAUGAUACUAAAAGUACAUUCAAGAAUGAAAAGUGAAAAUAGGAUAAUGUUGGUAUUACCUGAAAAACUAAGGAAUCUUGAAGUCGAGAUGCAUGGAUUCGCCACUUGCAAUUAGAUUUUGCGCACGUUGCAGUUACCCUCAAAAGAUCACUUUUUUGUAGGUUAUACUCAAACUCAUUUAGUAGGGCAAAAUGAGUCAAUGCAUCUCUAAAUGAACCUACAUUUGGAUAUUUUGCUCCUACUUCCAUAAUAGGGUUAUUCACAUCAUAUGAAAAUGUUCCUACAUGAUCCAUAUUAUCCUCUAAAUCAGAAUCAUCAGUUUUAAGAGAACGAAAGCUAUCUUCACUUAACAUUGCAUCUGAUUCAUCAACUGGUUCUUUAGCAACUUGACCAACAUCUUCACCAAAUGCUUCACCAAUAUUUUCACCUAUAUCUUCAUCAACUGCUUCUUCGGCGACUUGACCAACAUUUUCACCAAUUGCUCCACCAAUAUCUUCACCAACACCUUCACCAGCACCUUCACCAGUACCUUCACCAACACCUUCAUCAACACCUUCACCAACACCUUCAUCAACACCUUCACCAACACCUUCACCAAUACCCACAAUGUUAUCAUCAAUCAUAUCAAUAUUGCCCUCUUGUGUUAGAGUUUUUUCACCAUUAUAGUUUAAUGAAAUGCCUUGCGACUGAAUAGUUAUAAAAUUUCUGCUUCUUUCAUGUCAUUGUAUAUAGAAAAUAUAGCCAUCAACUCCUGCUCAGAGAUUGCUUGAAUGAAUUUCUUUGACUUAACAUUUCUUGCUAUAUACCAUAUACCAAUGUUCUCCGUAACACCACAAUCCCAUAGUGAUCGUACAUCUCGACAAAAUUCAGUAAGAUUGUAACUAUCAAGGUCUAUCAUCAACGAAUGCUUCUUACCAUCACAAUAUCUCAGUCCACAUGCAGUUUUUACUGUUUUAAAAUACCCAGCAUAAUUGAACUUCACUUUGGAAAAACCAUGCUCCUCCCUAUCUAUGAUCAAACUGCCACUGUAGAAACAAAAAAAAAAAUAAAAAUGACUAGGUUCUAUACUCGUAUGCUCUAUGAAAAUAUGACAAUAAUUAUAUAGAUCUAACUUGGAUGAUUCAAGCCUACUUCUUAAGGCCAAAAUUAUUUUAAAAAAUUAACCUAAAAUACUAGGGUUUUUUUUCCAAAACUAACAAUCAGAUAAAUCAAGUUUUUGAUUUAUAGUAUGUAGUGCACUAACCUUGCUCUAGUAAUGAAAAAAAACUAACAAUCAGAGGAGCAAUACACCUCGUUGAUGAAUAUGAUGGAAAAAACCCUAGUAAUGGUAGAUCUGAAGCUUGAGGAAGAGGAAUAGGAAAAGGAAAAGGAAGAGGAAGACGAGCAAUAAACCUCGUUGAUCUGAACCUCGUUGUUGCGCGAGGAAGACGAGCACUAAACCUCCUCGAUCGCGGGCGCUCUCCUUGCAUCGCGGUCGCUCUCCUCGCACUCUCGGGCGGAACACCUGAGGGCUCUCCUUACGGUUUGGUUCCACUCAACUAGGGUUAAGGGCCCACCAUAGUAGUUAGGUAAGUUAAUAGGAUAUAACAUAAGAGGGGCAAACUAGUCAAUUCACACUAUUAACUAAUCAUGGUUAAGUAGUUUAACUGUGGUUAAAUAAAUUUCUCUAACAGACUCUAACAGCAAGGACAUAUCUGCAUAACAUUGCACUUUUGCAGGGACAACUUAUGGAGUUUCCAAUUUGCAGGGAUAUUUCUGCAAUUCACUAUGUUUGCAAGGACGUGUAUGCAAAUAACCCUAUUAUUUUUAUCUAGAUGUGAAUAGAUAAUAAGAGGUUGUUUUGUUCACCUAUUUUAGAUUAAGAAAUUAGAAUGAGAUUCAUUAAUUUUGUUUUAUAGGAAUUAGAUGUCGAUUUCCACUUUGGAAUGGGAAUAAGCCCAAUAUCCAUUUAUGGCUUAAUCCGGAUUAGAAUCUCAGACGGACACAUUCUAAAAAUAAUCAGUCAAAAUGUUCUUUCAUAAACGUCUCCCUCACCACCUCCUUUAUCACUCUUCUCUCUCUGAAUCAAAACAUUCUCUAUCAAAUUUGUAAAUAUUAAUUUUAGUUUUUAUUCUAAAAAUAAAAAGUUUUAGAUGAUUCAUUGUUUCAUUUUUUAUUUUAGUGCAAUUCAGUUUUAUUUUUUAUACUAUUUCUCUUACCAACCAAACAUGCCCUAACUAUGGGUAUGAAUGUUUUGGAUAUAAUAUUUGGUUCGUUUUCUAAAAUACGGAGCUCUUUCACAAAACCAGCUAGCUAGUCUUUAUGGGUGUUUGGUCUAGCUUUGAAAAAUGAUUUUCAGGCCAAAGGUAAUUUUUGGCUCAAUAGAGAUUUUGAUAAUCUCGUUUUUAAAAUUCGAUUCUAAUUUUUAGAAUUAGAUUUUAAUCUUCAAGGACCAAAAUUAGAAGCAACUAAAACCUGUUACUUGGAAUAUGAUUCUUAUUUUAUACUCAAAAUUCAAUUUUUUUUUAUUUUAGAUCCAAGUUCUAAAUUUAAAUUCAAAUUUCAAUUUUAAUUUUUAAAUUUUAUAUUUAAAUUUUUAAAUUUUAAAUUUUAAAUUUAAAAAUUGAAAUUUAGAUAUUCAAUUUAUAAUUUUAAGUCUUAAAUUUAAAUUUCAAAUCUCAAAUUUUAAAUUUUAAAAUUCAAAAUUUUAAAUCUCAAAUUUAAAAUUUAAGAUAAUUUGUAUUUUAAAAUUUUAGAAUUUAAAAUUUAAAAUUUAAAAUCUAAAAAUUUUAUAUUUAAAAUUAUAAGUUUUUAUUUUCAAAUUUUAAGAUUCAAAUUUUUAAAUUUCAAAUUUAAAAUUUAAAAAUUUUAAUUUAAGUUUUAAAUUUUUAAUAUUUAAUUUUAUUAUUAUAAAUUUUAAUUUAUAUUUAACUUUGAAUUUGAAUUUAAAUUAGAUGUUAAAAAUUGAAAUUUUUAGUUUUAAAUUUCAAAAUUUUAAAUUUUUUUAAUUAAAAAUUACAAAUUCAUUUUUCUUUUGGCUAAAUUCUCAUACAAUUACAAUUUAAAUUUAAAUUCCAAAAUUCAUUUUUAAAUAAAAUUUAGUGAAAAAGUUAUUAAUAGCACAAAGUCUUUUUUUUGCAAAUAAUUGUUAUAAAAUUAAUUUUUUAUUUAAACUUAGUUAUGCUUUAUAAUUCUUAUCAAAUUAAUUUUUCUACAUUAAAUUUAAUUUAAUUUUUUCAAAAUUUAGGGAGAACGGGCGUCCUCUUGAUUCCCCAGAUGAUUUUCAGUUCGCUCCUCUUAGUUUUUUUUGGUGCAAAAGCGAGGCACUCCUCGGUUGAAUCGCCAACUCUCUUGCUCGUUCACAAAACUCUGCGAUCUUUCCUUCCACUUUCUCUGUCUGUCUCAAUCUUGCUCGCUGCGUGCUCGCCUUUUGGCCGGGCGUUGUCAAGGAUCAAUCAGGGAAAUUUUGUUACCUAUCCAUAUAACUUUUUGCUUUGUAUGUGCUGCUAUCUAUGAUUGUUGGAUUUGCUUGACUUUAUUUAUUCUAAUUUCAUUUUGUUUUUUUCUAUAUAGCGUAUUAUUUUUGAAUUAUACUGCAGUUUUAUUCGUUUGAUGAUUUAAUAUAUAAUAUAAGUAUUAUCUGAUAUUAAUAUACAAUAUUAUAUAUAUAUAUAUAUAUAUAUAGAACUAGGCUGGAAUACUAUCAAUAGCACCAAACUAUUGGUGCUAUUGAUUUUUUAGCCAUUGGAUUGAGAAAUGGAUGGUUAGGAUGAUGUGGGCCCCCUAGGAUUGAGUGAGUGGUUGGUUGAAUAGUAUAAUCUAAUGGGUAAAGAUAAUCAAAGGGUUAAAUCUAACGGUGGAAAACUCGAUAGCAUCAAAUCCUUGGUGCUAUCGAUAGUACCCCAGCCGGACUAUAUAUAUGUGUGUGUGUAUAUAUAUAUAUAUAUAUAGAGUGUAGUGUCCCUAGUGUUUAGCGGUCUAUGUAAUUUCAGCAUCUGUGGCUUGUUGGCACGUCUGGUGGGUAUCGAGACAAGUCGGAAUCAUUUUGGUGCGAAAUUGACGCAAAACGGACUUAGCGCGAUGCGAGAGUGGAGUUCUGACAUUGAAAUCUGCAAAGUGCAGGAUUUCAGUGUUGAGUACCGGUACCUGAGGAGGAGUACCGGUACCCCAGUGAGAUUUCAGAACUGGAUGCUCUCGGGUUUGCGUAUGUUGAUGCUGAGUACCGAUACCUAUUGUCGAGUACCGGUAUUGAGCUCGGGUACCGAUACUGCAUCGGGCUGGUAUUGGUACCCAGUGUGCGGGAUUAAGGAAAGAGAGGCCGAGUACCGGUAUCCAAGUUGGGUACCGGUACUCCAAAAGGCAAAUUGAGUAGAUAAGGAGCUUUUUGGUCUUUUGUUAGCGUUAAAACCAAACCAAACCCCCCAGCCUUCUCUUUUGUGCCUGAGGUUGGUGAAACACAGGUUGGCUUCUCUCUCUCUCUCUCUCUCUCUCCUUAAUUUUUCCUUGCAUUUUGUUGGGAACCUGAGGUUAGAGCUCGUCAUUUCCUUUGUGUCGUAGGAGGGUUGCACGCGCGCCGUGGUGGAGUCCGGUUGAACCGUCGGAGGUCGAGCGAGCGCGCGAGGUGUCUCCUGUCGACUUCUUGCCGACGUUGGACGAGCACUCGAGGUGGGUUAAUAUUUACCGAAAUCGUCGGAUUUCCUCCUAAGUCGUAGUGUUGUCAGCAUGUGUGUCACGCCCCGAGCCCCGCCUAUUUGGUCGGGUUCGGGCACACCGACAGACCGCCGAACGGACAGAGUCUCCCCUGUAUGUCCUAGGCGUCACAAUCGAUACAAGUACAAGAAGUUCCAAUCAGGAACAGUAUUCAAGCAAGAUUGCAUAAGGAAGGUAUCAAACAACAUAACACAUCCUAUGUUAUUACAAGCAUUCCUAUUAGAUUCAUUUCUACAUCACAUUAGCAUUAUUAUAUUACAUUUUCUUCCAAAUACAAUUAAUGAUCGCAAUAUUAUUAUAAGUUUGCUCUUUUUUUUUUCUUUUUCCUAUACCCCUAGGCUAUGCAGACUCGGGGUACCUCUAUCUCUGGUCUCUGGGGUAGGGCGCUAUCUAUGGAGCUACGCCCUCACCUUGCGCCGCCGCGCCGCUCACGUGCGAACCUGCAACACCCCAAAACAACAUGGGGUGAGAACCAAUUCCAUGGUUCCCAGUGGGUACGGCCACCCAAGGGAAAAGCUCGACCAAUAGGUCUAAGGAGGCCCUGCAACAUGUUAGUCCAACAGAUAUCCAACAGAUAUAUAUAUAUUCAAGUAUUGAAAUACAUGUUGUGCCUCACGAUAUGCAAUAUGAAAUUCAUGCAGUUUAUGCAACCAUGCAACCAACUAGUAGUUCAAUCGAUACUACUUUUAUUCCUGUUAUUCACAGUUCAACCAAUUGACCUCUAAGUUUUCCUCUAUCUUAGAUUCUUGUCAAUUACAGUUCUGCUCAUAGAGUUUAACCUACUAUUAUAAGCUAUCCACUCGACUCGGUUUUGAGUCAAUCACACGCGGAAUACCGCACAAUGCCAGACUCAAGGUGAAGGAUGUCUCACAUGCACCUCAGCCCUAAAUCCACUCAACUGGGAUGCAACUAAAACUCAUAUAAUGCAUUAAAUAGUAAAGGUUUACUAUCAUGCUAACGAAUUCGAUCCAUAUUCGAAUAAUAAUGUUCAAUGGCAUUGUUCACUAUCUUUUACCCAAUCUGUAGCAAAGCCCUAUAAUAACAACAACAAUCUGCGGAAUACGCAAAAUCUGCGUACCGCCCAGACCCGUGCACGGCCCGCCCGAAGGCGACCCAGGGCCCCGCACUGUGGUGUGGUGCACCCGUCCACUGUUCAACUGCGUCCACAUAGAACUGCUCUAUCACUCUGACGUAACCCACGGUUUCAGCUAUUACAACCUAGCGUUGGGGGCCAAAUGGAGUGUGAAGACCUUCUCGGACGUCUUUUGGGAAUCGUAUGCCGAGCUAAAAUCAUAUCGUAAGGUAGGAGUCUGUCUACCCGUUUAUCUUUCCUGGUAAAUUUGAGACCUCCUAUACGACGUCCGCAUACAGUAGCUGAUAUUCCCCUCAACCACACUAGUAAACGGCUACCGGCUCAAGCGGAUGUUGUUGUCAAAAGUACGUUCAUAUCUCUACCGUGGCAAACUCCGGGAGAUACCCGCCUUCACAGCCAGAGGAUAUGUGAGCCCACUACACCCACUCGUACAUCUCAAGCCGGGUCUGCACAACGCUCUUCGUCUCCUCUUUCAGGCGGAACGAGCGUUCGCUGACGAGUGCCGCGUCAGCUCUGUCUUUUCGAUACGACUAUCCGCGGCAGCUCUGUAUCUUAGAUGCCACCCACUGGCGCAUAAGAAUUUUCAAAGCGGUUACACCCACACUUCGCCAAACCUCACGCCCUUUCAAUUCAGGGGACAUAUAACUUGGUAUACUCUAUAACCUCGCUCAACCGUGCCAUCGGAUAGCUGAACGGAACGGUGGCUUCGAGCGCCUACAUGUGUUACACAAGGUACAGAGGUUGGAAGCGUUCAUGUAAAUACUGGAGAUCGUACGCUACGAUAUACUUGGCGGCCUUGAAGUUCUUCUGAACUCGAUGCUCCUUAAAGGCCACUACCAAUAGCGGGUUCUUCACGCUUUUGACGCUUUAGCGCUCUAAGGGAUGUACUUCUAGGCCACCUCGUUAGUACUACUAGCGCUCCGGUGGACCCUUGAGCUCUUAGACUACUCUUUCGUAGUAGGAGUGAAUAAACUCCUUAUUCCAUAUCUUUGACUCAAAAUUAAUUCAAGUUAGUCAAAGCUCCUACUUUGAGGAAAAUUCCUCCCCUCCUACAUUCCUUCACUUAAGAGCUUUAGGCUCUCAACCUGAAGUAGGUCUUAGCUGAUUAACAGCUCACCCAUCCGAAGCCUUUUCAAUUUCUAAAAGUUUUGUGUUUUUCAUGAAACCUCAGUUCAGGCGCUCUCGUUUCUACGUUUUUAUACGUAAACCGUCCAAGACGAGAGCCCCUGGCCAGGGACCGCCACCCCUGGCCAAGGGCAUUCGUUCUUACGACCGUCUCUUCCCCAGACGCGACUCAACGAGAGCCCCUGGCCAAGGAUCGUUCCUUCCUGGCCAGGGGUAUUGACUCCAACGCCGUCUGUCGAUUACGUUGGCCAGGGACCGUUCUUCCCGGCCAAGGGUAUUCGCAUAAACCGACUCCACGAGAGCCAUCCCUACGUUUACCUAGGCCCAACCACCUCGAGGUGGGGCUAGGCGGGGCUUACCCCACCAUUCACCCUUUUGUUUUAUAUCUUUUUAUAUUGGGCGGGGCUUAGGCGGGGUUAGGCGGUUCAUUUACCUCGCCCUCCGCCCUCUGAGAAAAGAAGGAAGUUAGAUGGGGCUAGGCAAUUUUUAGGCGAGGGCGGGGCGAGGGCGGGAUUAGGCGGAGCUUACCUCGCCAUUCACCCUCGGUUUUUUAUUUUACUUUUCAUUGGGCGGGGCUUAGGCAGGGCGGGUCUAUUUUUUACCUUGCCCUCCACGCCCUUGAGAGGGCGGGGGCCUAGGCGGGGCAAACGUAGGGAUCGAGAGCCCCUGGCCAGAGAGUAGCCCUCCUGGCCAGAGGGUCCCUGGCUAGAGAGCACGUCCCUGGCCAGAGAGCACGUCCCUGGCCAAGGGCAUACGCACUUCCGACCGUCUCUCGGAAGGAGGGCGUACCUAACGAGAGCCCCUGGCCAGAAGGGCUGCUCCUUGGCCAGGGAGGCACGCUUUUGACGAGUCCGUUUCGUCAAACUCUUUACUUUUCAACUCCCCGAACCGACGUUAAUACGGAAUCAAUCUCUCAUAUCUCUCGUUUCCCGAGAGAGAGGGAGAGAGUAAAGGGAGAGUUGAGAGUAGAGAGAGAGGGAGAGAGAGAUCUUCUUUUCUUUCUCUUCUUUUCUUCCUCUUCUUCUUCUUACUCUUUACUUCCUUUUCUUCUUCUUCUUCCUCUCGCUCGAUCCCUUCCGAACCUCGUAGAAGAGCAGAAGGAGAGGAGAGGUAACCUCGAUUGGAUCUCCAUUCGAGAACUCGGGAUUACCAUCUUGAAUUCCAAAAACCCAAAAACCGAAAACUCUACUCCAGUUUAUCUGGAGAUCGUGAUAAUUAUCACCUUAUCUCGAUCUUCGAUCCCAAGAUAUCACGAUUAACGUUCUACACUUGGAAUCCUGUGGGUUUACCCCCAAAAACCUUUAUGUACUCUAACUAGAGUAAAUCACCGAACAUUUGGAUAAACUAUCCACAGAUUUGCGCCCCCGCUUCAGCCUAAAAGCCAAGUAGCUCGCCCAUUUUUCGAUAGCCGCUUUAUAUCAGCUAACUCGUGGCAAAACCUGGUUCCUCCGGUUCUGGAGUAGCAUUGUAAGCAACCCUUCGCAAAGAUCUUGGAAGUAUGGAGUUUUCCACCUCCCACAGUAGGGUUUCGUUGGCUUGAAAAAAGAUACAGAAUCUUUAUGUAUUAAAAGUAGAGAACAUACAACGUAACAUCCUAACGUAAUAUCAUGGAAAAAGAAUACGAAGAUUUACAAUUGGAUCACACGUACCUUAUGAACCACUUUAACUAUCCAUUCCUAACCCAGCCUUAUACCUAGGAUAUCACGGUUUUCUUUCUCUACUUGAGCUACCAAUAAGUCACUGUAUCUCUCACCGUAAUUACAUCACAUGAACUGUGAUUUCCAAGUACUUGAAUCCCUAUUCACCUAAAGGAUCUUUUACUGAGCACUUGUUACUUGAAUCAUCUCGAUUUAUUGAUACGUACUUACAGCUUUAUCCACUCAAGGCUCUCUUACAACCAGGAUCAAGCAUCCCAUAGGAGUGCACCUCUCCUAUCUAGUUCGAGUGCCAGACAAUAAGCCCUAUCAUUUCGGUAGGUAUAGGAGUGUACCUCUCCUAACCAGCAGCUCAUGAGGCCUCACAGCCCGCUAAUCCUGGUGAACCUCCAGGCCUGGUGUACCUCCAGGUAUCUGCCAGGGCUCGAACCCACGUGAACCUCGAGGGAGGGGUGAAACCCUAACUUUUCACUCAAUAACCGCUUGGGUNACAUAUAAUCAUCAUCCAAAGUAGUCUAUACUUAGCAUCUCAUGCAUUCUUUUAGCAUUUAAUUCAUUAUACAUUUCAUCUCAUUGGUAGGUAAUAUCAACUACAUAGUAUGUUUCAAGCAUUCAUAUUAUCAUGUAAGCCUACCAAUACAACUAUAUGCAUCAAUGUGAAUUCGUAUGUUUCUUAGACAUAAAGGGCGACCUAGUCGCUUCGGUAAGCACAACCCACCUCAUAUCGCAUUCCGAUUGCUUGUCGACACUUGCAAUCGGCCUCCCGCGGCACCCGUAUCCGGUUCGACCCGAUUUUGCUAAUACUCACCAACCGUGGGUCGAAUCGCGGCUCCGAAAAUUAUAGGUCUUCGGUUUUGUGCCACAAUGCUCCAAACCCAUUUUCAUGAUUUUACGAUGUCGCCUCGACCCUCCAGGCAGAAACGAAGCCUAACGUCCGUUUCUUUAAUAACUUCACAACGGCUCGACGAAUCGCCGAACCGACUUCGCCAAUGCGUUCGUUUACCUAGCAAUUAGGUUUACGGAGGGAGGGUCAAAUGAGAUCAAACCCUACUAUUUUACAAAACCCCAUUCGGAGCCCUAAUAUGCAAUUAGCCUCCAAAUAAUCUAAAUUAAAUGGAGCAAUAUGCUAACAAUGUUCAUUAGAGGCUAUUAGAACACUUAAUGUGAAGGAUUAAGCCAAAUCCCAAAAGCUUACCACAAUGUGAACGCCGCGACGAAAACACGUCGCUCCAACGGGCGUACGAAAGCUCGAUCCGUCGCCUCCAACGCGUUCGCAAGCAUCUUCUCCACCAACGCCCCGAAUUUGAGCGAGAGAUUUGGAGAGAUGAGAGAGAAAUCUAGAGAGAGAGAGAGAGAGCUUUCUCUCUCUCCAUCAUGUAUGCGUGUGUGUGGUGUGCGGGUGUGGUCGGCUGAGGAAGAAGAAGCAAAAGGCUUCUUUAUAUAUUACACCCCAAAACACUAUUCACUUCCGAGCAGUUCGAAAUCUGAUAUUUUUUGCCGGAACUCCCUGAACAUCCGUUUGAGCUCAAAUUUGACAGUCAUAUUCAGUUUUACUCAACGAGUCCAAAGAAAUUUUAAUAUUUCAGUUUCGACCCCAUUUGGUGACCGAAAACUAUACCGAACUGUAAUCUUUAUCAGAUAGCUGUCGGAUUUUAUUUUUCACCUUCCGGAUGUCAGAAUGACAUGAAACUUGAAAUCUAGCCUCAUAAAAUUAAUUCUGACAUAUCCUCCAGUUUUCAUAAUUUUCUGACACUGUACAUUUUUUGCUAAUUUAUCUGCCCCGUCUCUCACAGAAAACUCUAAAUUUUUUAUUUUCGCUCCGAUUUCAGCACAGGUCAUUUCCAACUUAUAUUUCACUUCUCUAAAUCCAAUAAAAAUAGUAUGUCAUACAAUUUUUAUUUAUUUCUAUUUUUAUAUUUAAAAUUCGGUAUAUUACAUUCCACCGUAACCUCACCGGAACCAUUCAAAUGGCUUUCCAACCAAAAUGUACACUGUAACUUCAUAAUUUUAAAAGUCCGGUACCUUACAAUGUGGUUCUUGGUUUUGGUUAUUACGUUGUAACUCAAAUUCAGAACAAGCAUGUUUUAUGAAAUUUGAGUUUUGGAGCAUGAUUUAGUAUUUUAGACAAAUUUAUAUGCUGAACUUGGAAUUGACUUAGGAGAAAACUCAUUAAACCUACACCGUCAUUUUUCGAAAAGUUACCAGAUUUAGCUUCGGGAGCUACUGUACUUUUGUAUCCCCGCUGUUAGUACGUAUUGGAUACUCAGAUUAGUGUAGGGUGAGUUUACGCUCGUGCUAAGGGCCCGAGCUCGUUUUACAGUAGAGUGUAGACUGUUCUGUACUGUCGGGUGCCGUCGUGGUUGACGGUGGACCUAGAAUUGCAUCAGACUGUGCUAAGGGCACGUGUGUCACGCCCCGAGCUCCGCCUAUUUGGUCGGAUUCGAGCACGCCAACAGACCGCCGAACGGAUAGAGUUUUCCCCUGUUCGUCCUAGGCGUCACAUAUCCAUACAAUGCAAUACACGAGGUUCCAAUCAGGAACAGUAUUCAAACAUAGAUUGCAUAAGUAUCAAAAAUAUAAAUGCUAAACUAUACUAUUACAAGCAUUCAUCUCACAGUUUCUUUUUUUACAUGUUACAACUUCCAAAUACCACUACUGGGCGAGGAGAACCAACAUACCCGUUGAAUCACUACCGGGCGGGGAGAACCAACAUAUCCGUAGUUCUGAUUCACUUGCUUCAUAGCAUACUGGGUGAGGAGAACCAACAUACCCGUUGAAUCACUGUCGGUCGAGGAGAACCAACAUACCCGUAGUUCUGAUUCACUUUUUGCCAAUCCUCUUGUCUCAACCACUGCACUUGCAGUCCCCAUUCCUAGGGAUUCCGGAAUCCACUUCCAAAAAAUUAAAGGUUUAGCACAUGCCCUAUUGUUAACCUUUCUAGGUUUAAACCAUUCAUUUCCUAAUGGUCCUUCUACCACUAUAAUCCACAACUUAGUUUCAAAUACACUAAGUGUCACUAUACAUCAUGACAUAGGUUCAAUCACGCUAUGUUCUAUGUCAUUUCUAUCUAGAUCUCGACUCUAGGUUUCCUUAUUCAACCUAUGUUCAAUGACACUAGGUUCAUGUCCAACCUAUGUUUAAUAACACUAGGUUCAUGCCACUCGAUCUACUUAUCAUCCUAGUUGUCACACCUAGGAUUGUAGUUUACAUAUUCUCACUUUAUAACUGUCGAGUUCUCUAAUCAACCUAGAGUUAUCGACCCAUAUUCAACUCAUACGAAUCUAGCAUGUUCACAAUAUGUCAACGUUCAUAUAUCAUAUAGCAUUACUGUAAGGUGCCGAACUUCUGAGGUUAUGAAGUUACGGUGGAAUAUGAUGUACCGGAAUUUUGAAUAUAAAAGUAAAUAUAAAUAAAAAUAGUAUGAGAUACUAUUUUUAUUGGACUUGAAGAAGUAAAAUUAGACCUGGCAAACGGGCGGGUUGGGUAACCCGUGUGUGGGUCAUUGUACCCACGAGUCAUAUGGGUAUGGGUAAAAUUUAUCCGCAAAUUUUUGGGCAGUCGACAUCAUUACCCAUACCCGCCCGCGGGUGGGUGGGUGGGUAUGCGGGUUACCUAUAAAUUUUUUUUUCUUUUUUUACUUCUAUACUUUCUAAAUACAAAACACAUAUAUAAAAUUUUUAAAAGCGUAACAUAAUUCACUGCGUAAAAUAUCACAAAAUACAAUAAAAAUAUUUAAAGCCUUAAAGCGAAUAAAUUUCAUAAUAUAAAAAUAUUUUACCAUCCCAAAUUUUCAUGAUAUCAAAUUAAUAAAUUUUUCAUAAUUAUAGAGUCAAUAUAAUAAAGAUAAACCACCAAAACUCAAUCCACAACUGUCGCUUUAGUAGUUGAUUCUCUUGAUUCUGGAGUUUCACCAAUAUUCAACAAUGGCACCACAAGAUCGUUGUCGUCGUGUUCAUCUACAUUUAAAAUUUGAAAUAAUUAAUUCUCAUAGAAUAAAAAAUAUUAUAAUAUUAAUUUAAAGUAAAUAAAUUUAUUACNGUAGUGUAAUCUAUUGCGAUCGUUAACACUGUUCUACCUCCCCUAGAACUUCUCAGUCGAGACAUACGUUUUACGUAAUAAUACAUUACCUUUUAUAAAAGUACACGCAACAAGACGAGUAUAGAAUUUGAACUAACAAGUUCUCCCAAAUUUUCAAAGAUCAUACCGUGAUGUAUUCUAAGCUCUUUCAUAAUUCAUGGAAUUCUUGUCACUCCGUUCUAACUAAUUUAAACGUCUUGAACGUUUCGUUUGUCUACAAUGAUGAAGUUACGUAAACGCGUACCUAUAUACGUGAUCCACCUUGAGGUGUAUAAACUACGAUCUCUUACGAGAAUGUAAAGCUGUACAAAAAUACGUAAUAAGAAACAAACUAAGUGUAAUAUUUAUAACAGGAAGUUUACUACUCACCCUAUCCCGCCUUUCCUAUACACUAAAAAAUCUUGGUAAAAUACUCUAAUGAUGAGAAAAUAGGCCAAGACUUAUAGGUUGACGUUUAAACAUGAAAGGUUCGCACACCUUUUAAGUUUUCGCGGAAGAACUUCUUCGGCUCUCACUUCUACUUUAAUAUUCACUGUACCGUUUUGUUUACUUUAGGUUCAAACUCUUUAUAACCCUAUUAAUAUUACACUAUAACCGAUAACGUUAAUAAGAACUAAUCCGGAGCGUUUACUCAUUCGGCCGAGCGCAAGCCGAGCGCAAGCCUAGCUAUAAGCUGAGAGAGUUUUAGUCCAAAUAGGUUGAUCUAUGGAUCUUCUACGUGUUCCGUCUUUCUAUGAGUGUUCGGUUCUUUCACAUUGUUAACAAGCCGUUCUUAACAUAAAUGAAAAACUUUUUAUACAACUUUUCAAAAGACACGUUCGGGUUCUUUUUAGAAGUAGUUGAUGAUUAACAAGAUGACCACGAUUUUCUUUCUUUUUACUGUAAACACAUUCAAUAAGAAAUCGAAAAAGAAAUAUCAACGUCAAUAAGUUUAUGAAUUGAAAAAACAUAUAAAUAAUUAAAAAAAACAUAUAAAUAACAGAAAUUAAAAAUUUACAAAGUUACCAAAUCCUGAAACUACCGAAACUAUCACUUAAACCGCAGUGAUCGUUUAGACUUAAUCUAGCUAUAAACCUCCUCUGUUUCAAGCUAGCAUAUUUUGUACGAUUUAACUUAUAAGAACUAAAAACCUUCCUAUUAACACAAGCCAUAGGUUAAGAAAGAUUCUACCGCGCACUAUAAUACUCGUAUGGUUAUUGUUGGCAACGAAGUCUUAGACGAACAUCGUAACCUUCAUUUCACGAGUGUUUCAUGGCUUCAAGUGAAACUGGUCUUUUACGAGUUCAAAACUAGACGUGUGCUUCAACCAACAUACCUAUACUUUAAUUUCCAUUAUUUAAAUAAAUGAAAUUUAAUUAUAAUAUUAUAAAAAAUAAGAAAAUAUUUUUUUCUCAAUUCCCCAAUCUUUUAAGAACUCAAAAACUUUUUCAGAUAGGACAGCACCCGAGUGUGGAGGAGGAAGAUGACAAAAAUUCAAAAUUUUACUAUGCAAUAUCCAAUUUUCAUCUACAAAGUGUGCUGUUAGGCAAAUAUACCCUUCACUUGUGCAAGAUGACCACAAAUCAGAAGUAAGACAUAUUCUACUAGAAACCUUCCCUAGAAUAUGCUUAAUAUUUUCUUUCUCCCUUUUAUGUAUUUUCAGGCAAUCGGUCUUUGCUGUGUUUCUAGUAUAGGGUUUGACGUCCUCAUUCAAGUAAAAAUGCACAUCCCUAAUUCCUUCAUGCGCAGCAAAUGAGAAAGCAUAAUUGUGUUUCAUAAUUGCAAUCGCCAUCUUCUCACGAUAAGUUUCUUGGUUAAAUUUUUUUCCACGUAAUUUUGCCUCGUAACCUGUAAUAUACCGAAAAUUCAGAAAAUAAAUGUCGAACUUUAGUCAAAUUGACUAAAGUGCGAGGACGGUACAUUUCGGAAAGUCCGAAGGUGUUAAAAUGAUUAAAAGUGAGUUGCGGGAGGUUGUCGAGAGCUAUAGAAUCAAAAUCUGCAAACUGCAGACUUUGAGCUCUCGGGGACUGGUCCCUGGUGGGAGAGACCGGUCCCCGAACGCGUAUGAUUUGAGACAGCCGAAAAAUCGGCUAAGUCCUGAGAAAUUAGCUCUCGGGAACCGGUCCCUGCCUGAGAGACCGGUCCCCGAGAGACCGGUCCCCUAAAGAGAGACUGGUUGCACCGCGCGCGGCAGCUCUGGCUGUGCUGGGACGACCUUCGGGAACCGGUCCCUGAAGGAGAGACCGGUCCCCGACUGCGCGAACUGCCCAGUUCGGGCAGUGUAAUGAGAUCAAAGCUGAGGGACUUAUCUGCAAAAAUGCAUUAUGUGGGUCAUGUUUAGGGUUGAGAGAGCCUCUCCCUCUCCUUCCCUCACACCUAAACUCAUCCCUCUCCCUUCCUCUCUCUAGAAGACAAAGAAGGAGAAGAAGAAAGGAAGGAAAAGAAGGAGAAGAAAAAGGAGAAGAAGAAGAGGAAGUGAAGAAACUCCCUCUCCCUCAUCUCUAGCUUGGAAAAUGAGAGCUUACAAGGUAAGCCUUGAACCCUAAUUAUGGUGGGACCUAAUUUAGGGUUUGGAUUAAGCUUAAGAUGGGUUUUAUGGAACCAUUUGAGUAUUUGAAGUUUUCUUUUGCUUCUUUUGAGAUCAAAACCAUGGUUUAGCUCAAAGGUGAGCUUCAACCCACCUCUCAUGGUGAAAUCCAAACUAGGGUUUGGAAUGAGCUAGGAAUGGUUUAGAUGAACUCUUUAGAGUACAUUGAAACUACUUUUACUUCCCAAUGAGAUCAAACCCUAGGUUUGAUAUAUGUAUUGGAGCUAGAGCACCAAGUUGGGGCUUUUGCUCAUGGGAAUUUCUAAGUGCAAUUGACCCUCUAGAAACCUAAUUGGGGGUAUUUCCGACGCGUUGGUGCGUACGGAUUAACAUUCCGAAGAACCAAUGAAAAGAUAUGAGCAAAAUGACCUAUUAGGGCUUCGUUUUGCCGCAGGUAAAGAACGAGAAGCCUAAAAAUCCCGAGAAAAUCGUCGGAGCACCUUUGAAAGCCUACAAGGUGGGUGGUGCUUCUCAAACUCAUUGAACUUCUCUUUAUGCCUAAUGUGUCAUUCAUUUGAACAUGUGUAUAUAUAUUGUUGCAUGCAUUUUAGGGUAAAGUAAUGAUAAAAUGUGAUGAUGCACGAUUGUGAGUACAAUUUGCAUAAUAUGAUGAAUGAGAACUAAGUAAACGUCGAAAACCCUAUGUGUAUGCAUGAGAGGAAGGUGAGCACCCAAAGUGAGCAAAAGAACAGAGUGACACAAUGACAUAGAUCGAGUGGCAUUUGAUAAAGUUAAAGUGAAAUGACACUAGAGAUAGUGUGAGGUAAAGAACCAACGUAAUGUAAAGAAUGAUGAAAAGGAUAAUGUGUAAAGUUAAAGUAAAGUGGGGCAAUAAGAACAAAAAAUGUAACGAACAAGAAUGCUAGAGCUAGCAGAAGUAAAGAAAUGUAAAGAAUGUGAUUGCAUGAGUUUGCAACAUAAAGUGAUGUAAAGGACACUAGAGCUAGUGUAAAGUCAAGAUUGAACUUAUAAAUCCUUUGAGUUAAGGAUAUGAUCAUACUUGCUAUGAGUUCCGUGCUCGAGGGCGGUCGCUCCCCCUCGGGCGAUGCGCUCCGGAGUUAUGCAUCACGGGUUGGAGUAAACCCGAAGGACGGUCCUAGCGGGUGAGUUCCUGCGAUGAUGGACUUAAUGUGAAACAAGUUAAUGUGGCGAAACCCCCGGGUUAGCCUUGAGAUUAAAGAACAAAGAGCAAAGAACAAAGAACAAAGUGUAACGUGAAAAGAACAAAGAAUUUGCAUAAUCUGCAUUUAUUCAAUGUUGAGCAUAUUUCUGCUUAUUGUUCAGGCAUAUUAGCAUCAUGUAUAGAUUGGUUACUAUAUGCAGCUUAUUCUUUCUAUUAUGCCUGAGUUAGUCCUAGUGGGAAAGUCGGUGAUGUUGAGGCCGAACCCACUGGGAACUUUGUUGUAGUUCUCACCCCACUAUUCCACAGAGCCGGGACCGAGCGAGCUGGCGAGCGACCGAGGCAAAGGUAUCGCGCCUUAGUCAGAGGCCACCAAAGUUGGAUUUCAUUUUGUAGUAAAGUACCCUAUGAUCAUCCUUUGUAUAUGAUGAUAAAUGAUGUAAAGAAAAGAAUGUAAUAUGUAUUUUGAGGUAAAUGUGAUGUAAGAAAGAAAUGAUGAGAUGAAAUGGAAGAAAUUCAAAGAUGAACCAGAUGAAUGAAUGUAUAUGAUCAAAAAUGAAUCAUAGUACAAAUGAAUGUUUAGUUUCCUUAUUCUUUCACUAAUGGCUAUUGCUUAUCCUCGUAUAAGCCGUUUGUGUAUAUAUUUCCGCUAGUGCUUUUCUCUAUUGAUGAAAAUGUACAUGUGAUGAGCCUUGGGCGGAUAGAAAAAACUCUGUCCGUUCGGCGUCUGUUUGACGUGCUCGGGCCGGCCCAAAUUGGUAUCGGUCCCGGGGCGUGACAUAACCAAAAUGUAGUUGCUUUACAUCUUGGUUAAUUUUCUUUGGACAACUUUGGAUAUGGCGUUUUAAAUUUGCUGUCCCAUGAGUAUUAGUACCUAUCGCAUAAGAGGCCUUGCACAAUAUACACCUUGCCCUAUUAUUCCCAUCAUCAUCAACAUAUGUGUCAAAACUGUUCCAUACAUCUGAAUAUUUACGAGGUUUUUCUUGCAGAAUCACUAUCACUAACCCUUUCUUGUUUAACAGUAGUUUGAAUAAUAUCAGGCUGUUGUGUCUCACAAUUAUUAUUUUCGUCCACUAUCUGCACAUGUUCUGAAUCCAUACUACAUAAUGGGAAAAAAAAAGUUACUCCACUAUUUUUGAAAAUUUUUCAGAUUUCAGCAUAUUAACUUUCAACCAAAUAAUGUAAUGAGCAAUAUGAAGCUAGCUAAUUUUUUAUUUCAUAUUUGUUAAAAGCUACAAGAAAAAUUAAAGGGCCAUUGCCUAAACAUUUGUAUUGAAAAUAAACAGAUGUAAAGUUGGAGAAGGACGAUGCAUUAAAAUUAGAAAUCAAAUCACUAGCAAGUUUUAUCUUCAACAAGAAAGUAAUAUAACAUAAACUUAUUCUAUGUAUUCGGAAUGCUAUAUUAUCUACUGCAAUGUUAUUUACCAACAAUUAACAAGAAGGAAGAAAAAGCCGAAAAAAUCAUACAUUUUCCAGAUAAACACAAAAAAGCCGGAGAAGGUGCAGGCGAAGAUCGUAAAUAAGCACUUGGUGGUUCGAUGUAGGUCGGGCCACCAGAGAAUAGUAGAGGAGUGCAGUUGCAAAGGCGACACAGUAUGAGAGGUGGCCACAACGAAAAAAAGAUAAACGAAAGGAAAUUAGGAUUAGGGUUUUUAGGAUGGGUAAACAAAAAAAAACAUUUUUUUAAUUAAAAAUAUAUAUCCGGGUACCCGUGGGUACCCGCGGGUUACCCAGAAUGCCCACAACUUAAUGGGUACCCACCCAUUUUACCCACAAUUUUUUGGGUAGGAAAAGUUGGUACCCAUACACGCAAUUUUAUGGGUAACCCGCGGGUAUCCGCGGGUUUGGGUCGAGAUUGCUAGGUCUAAGUAAAAUAUAAGUCGGAAAUGACUUUUGCCGAAAUUGGAUUGGAAACAGGAGAUUUAGAAUUUUCUGUUUGAAAUGGGGCAGGUAUUUUAGCAGAAACUUCACAGUGUCAGAAAAUUAUGAAAAUCUGAAAAUAUGUUGGGAUUAUUUUCAUGAGGCUAGAUUUAAAGUUUCAUGUCAUUCCGACACCCGGAAGGUGGAAAAUAAAAUCUGACUGCUAUCUGCUAGAGAUUUCAGUUUGGUAGAACUUUCGGUGACCAAAAAUGGUCGAAACUGAGAAGUUAAGAUUUCGUUCUUCUAGUUAAGAAAAAUCGAGCCUGACUGUCAAAUUUAAGCGCAAACGGACAUUCAGAGGGCUUCGGCAAAAAGUAUCAGAUUCUGAAGGACUAAACUGAAAAUUUCAAUAGUUGUUGGGGGGCUAUGUGUGUAACAAAUGCCAUACCCUUUUGUUGUCUUGGUCUGAACCGAGAGAGAGAGAGAGAGCAAGUUUCUUUUCUAUCUUUCUCUCUUUGUCUCUAAAAUUUCUCUACCUCUAAAUAAUCUCUCGACUAAAGAGGAAUUGGAGAAGAAAUUGGAGGAGGAAUUGGAGGUUGAGCUUGGAAUUAGGAAGAGAAGCUUCAUUUUCAUCUUCUUCUUCCUUGACUCAAGAAAAGGAAGCUUGUGAGGUAAGCUUCUUGAGCUUCAAUGGUAGAUUUCUAAAGUUUGAGUUAUAAGCUCUAGAAAUGGGUUUAAUUGAAUCUUAGGAUGCUAAAUGACUGUAAAUUGGAUGAAUCAAGUUCUAAUUUGGAGUAUUCUUGCAAUAGUAAACAUCUAGGGUUCUGAAUGUGGUUUUGUUAUAUAGAUGGGUUUGAUCUAAAUUGGACCCAUGUUAACCUAAUUGCUAGGUAUUCUGAAGCGUUGGCGAAGUCGGUUCGGCGAUCUGUCAAGUCUGCGCAAAGAUAUUGGCAAAAAGGACGUUUUUGGCUUCGUUUUCGCCUGGAGGGCCGAGACGGCGUCCAAAAAUCACGAAAACGGAUUCCUAGCAUCGCGGUAUCAAGUUAUAGACUUUUAAAAUCCAAGGUCGCGAAUUGACGCACGGUUGGUGAUCAUUUGCAAGAUCGGGCCGAACCGGACAACGAAUACUGCGGGAGGCUGAUUGCAAGUGACUACAAGCAAUCGAAAAGGGAUUUGAGGUGGGUUGUGCUCAUCGAAUUGUUUAGCUCGCUUCCAUGUCGAAGCGAUGUGAGAUUUACUAUUGAUGCAUAUAAUGGUAGCUAGUUGUAAAACUUAGGAAUGCAUGGGGUGAAUGCUAUGUUAGGCUAUCAAAGAAUGCAUGUUGACAUAAUAUAAAAUGCUAGAAGGAUGCAUAUCGACAUAAUGUAAGAAUGCUAAAUGAAUGCAUGUUGGUAUGUUAUAGAAAUGUUAGAUGAAUGCAUAUGAUUGAUGCUAGUUGAAUGCAUAAGAUAAAUGGCAUAUGAAUGUUAGCAUUAUGAGAAUUAUACUAGAAGGUAUUUGAAUGUUACCACCAUGGGAAUAUACUAGAAAGAAUGUGCAUGUUGACAUAUUAUGGAUUAUGUUAAAGAUAAUAUGCAUGUUGGCAAGUUGUAGAAUAUGCUUGAUUCAUAUGAGUUGAACAUGGGUCGAUAACUCUAGGGUGAUUAGAGGACUCGACAUUGGAAAACAAGAAUAUGAAAACUGUAAUAUUCGAUAUGGACAAGUAGAAUAUCAAGUAGAUCGAGUGGCAUGUAAAUUAGUGUGGUUGAGACACUUACAAUAUAAUGAUGUAAUCGAGUGGCAUUGAUAUUAGUGUAGUAGAGGCACUAUUAUUUGAACAUAGGGAUAGAUGAGUUCCCGAGUUGAUUGAUAUGUUGCAUGAGAACUUAGUGUGGUAGAGACACUUGUGACAUGAUGACUAUAGGGAUAGGUGGAUUUUCCGAGUCAUUGUUAUCCCUAGUUGACAGGGUAUCCUCAGUAGGCGAGGAUUGGAUCAUACCCACAUAGUCUGUUUUGAGCUUCGGGUGGUCGCUCCACACAAGCAGUACACUACGGAGUUGUCACAUGAGCGGGGUAGCUUACCGGGUGGGACACGAGCGGGGUAGCUCCUCACCUAUGAGACUUGAGAUGUGAGUCGGGGCGAAGGGCGGGGAAGCUCUCCACCUGUGAGACUUGAGAUGUGAGUCGGGGCGAAGGGCGGGGAAGCUCUCCACCUGUGAGAUUAGAGAUGUGAGUCGGGGCGAAGAGCGGGGUAGCUCUUCACCUAUGAGAUUUGAGAUCUGAGUCGGGGCGUAACCUUCGGGCUAGCUAAGUGAUUGGGUGUUAUACAUAUGACCUGUAGUUGAAUCCCAAUUGAGUGGAUUUAAGGCUGAGGUGCAAGUGAGAUGUCCUUCGCCUCGAGCCUGACUUUGCGCUGUAUUCCGCAGAUGAUUGACUCAAGACCGAGUCGGGUGGAUAGCUUUGAAAAGGUCGAUGAAACCUUAUGAGUGGAAUUGUAAUUGACUUGAAUCUAAGAUAGAGGAAACCUUAGAUGUCAAUUGAAUGAGUUAUGGAUAGCAGGAUUGAAAGUAGAAUCAAUCGAUCUACUAGUUGGUUGCAUAGUUGCAUAAACUGCAUGAUUUGCAUUGUUGCACGUUGCGAGGCAUAAACAUGAUGAUUGUUAGUUGCAUAUAUAUAUAUAUAUAUAUCUGUGGAUAUUUGUUGGACUAACAUGUUUGCAGUGCCUCCUUCGGAUCUGUUUGGUCAAGCUUUUCCCUUGGAUGGUUGUACCCACUGAAAACUAUGGACAAUAGUUCUCACCCCCGUGUUGUUUUUGGGGGUACAGGUUAACACGCGAGCGGCGCAGCGUCGCGAGGUCAGGGCGCAGCUCCGUAGAUAGUGCCCUACCACCGAGACCAGAGAUAGCGGUACCCUGAAGUGGUCUAGCUUAGGGGUUUGAAAUGAACUCAAAUGAAUGAAACAAACUUGUAAUGGAUUUAUAAUAACUAGAUUGUAUUUGGAAGGAAAUGUAAAACGAAAAUUGUAAAUGUAUAACCUGGGAUGAAUGCUUGUAAUAGCUUAGUUGUUUUGUAUUUUUGAUACUUCCUUAUGCAAUCUAUACUUGAUUCUGUUUCUGGUUGGAACAUCGUGAAUUGUAUUAAUUGUGACGCCUGGAAUAUACAGGGGAGACUGUCCGUUCGGCGGUCUAUCGGAGUGCCCGAAUCUGACCAAAUAGGCGGGUCUCAGGGCGUGACAAUUAUCCACAAUAUGUCAAUAUGCAUAUUCCAAUGGUAGGUAACAUUAACUAACAUAAUAGGAUUCAUAUUAUCAAUCACAAUCUACGACUAUACAUAUAUGCAUAAAUAAUAAUCAUACUUUACUUUGGCUUCGAAGCAACCUAAUCGCUUCGGUGGAGCACAACCCACUUUUAAUUGAUACCGAAAUGCGAGAAAUUCACUUUCCGCAAUUUAUGAACGAUCGCAAUCCUUUCUCGCGACAAACGAAGCUAAAAUGAGGUUUUUCCUCAUUAGCUUGUCGUAGGCUCGUCGGAACGUCGAUCCGAGCUUUUCAACGCGUCAGUUUUACCCUCAAUUAGGUUUCCACGUGAUCAAUCCCAAGCUAGAGCUUCAAUCCAACAAUUUAGUAUUUUCAAGUUAGAGCUUUAAACAACCUGCUACUAUACAAACUUCAACUUAAUACAACCUGUUUCUAUACAGGUUCUAUAAGAAUCUAUAUAGAAAUCUCAGCUUUAACCAUUCAAGAAUCUCAAAACCAAUUCCCUUAAGGUAUUUAUAUCAAGCCUUAACCAGGAAUAACAACUUACUCACCAUGCUCCCAACUGCCAGGUUCAUAUACAUGAUACAUAUAGGCCUAUUCUAGGCUUUUCAUGUUAAAAACAGCACUAGCAACCCAAGAAAACCCAAGUUAAACCCUUUCUAGGUGAUUAAAAUGAUCUUUAAUCAGGAAUUACCUCAACCCUACAUCAGUUUAAAACUCCAACAGCUUAUUUAUUUCCCAGCUGCAAACAAUCACACAUAACAUAAUACAUAGCUCUCUCUAAGUUUCACAUAGCAAUUUCAGUUUUAGAAACCUAAAAUUUCAUUGUCUACUCCUCCUUUAGGUUAAAUACCAUGAACCAUAACCAGGAAAUAUGUCUCUCCUACCUCAGGUUUCAUCCCAACAAAUAAUUCACAUGUAUAUAUAUCUAUAUAUAUGUUGUCAACACACAAUUCUUUAGGAUUUUUCUAAUAGAAGUUCUAAUACCCCAAAAUCUGUAGCUUAAUCUCUUUUAGAGCAAUAACCUAACUCUAAUAUGAAAUUAGAUCAAACCUACCUCAACUUGGAAGCUCCCACAAGCUGCUCUCAACUCCUGGACCGUCCUCUCAGCUCAAACCAUCAAGAAAACCCAACUCCACACGAACCCUUUUCACUAACUUCAGCCACCUUAGGCUUGUAGAAAGAAAAGAAGAAAAAAAAUGAAAAGAGGAUGAAGUGGAGAGGAGAGAGGAGAUUUAGUACAUAGCAGCUACUGGGGUAAGCUGCGGUUCAGAUAAGAUCAGCUAAUUUCUCAUAACACCCCUCACAAAAGCUGGGUUCAACUCUUUCACAUUUUGAUUCGUGCAGUUUUCUGCACCUGGCAGCAGCUGGAAGCAGCAACAAUUGCCCUCAAAUCCUCACACAAAGUUGAAAUUCUGUUUUACAGAUUAGUCCCUGUGGUUUCCUUGCAUUUGGCAGCAGCCGGCAACAGCAGCAAUUGCUCUUAAACCGCCUACAAAGCAGAAAUUCUGCUUUUACAAAACAGUCCCUGCAGUUUUUAGAAAACAGUCCCUGCAGCCUCUUUUUGGCACUAGACAGCAGCAGCUGGCAGCAGCAGUAGUUGUAGCAGCAGCUGCAAUUAGCAGUAGCAGCAGCACUCAGCAGUAGCAGCAAUUGCACUUAAACCCCCCCAAAAGCAGAAAUUCUGCUUUUACAAUUUAGUCCCUGUAGCUUUUUAGUACAGAAACUGCACUAGGCAGCACUUCCAAGUCAUUUUCUCGCGUAAACUUCGUUCUAACACCUCUAAACACUUCUAAAUUUGCCACUUAACUAUCCCCACAUCUCCAAAAUGAUUUGGAGAUACCAUAAAUUAUCCUCAUUGUUCACUUUGAUACAUCCAAUCAAAGUUAGCGUCGUAAGCCGGAGAUUCAUUUUCGAGUUCGUUUCGCGCCCAAUAUGCACCGAAACAUUCAAUCACUUCCCAAAAUCAUUCCCACACCUCUAAAAUUAUUCGGGAACGAUGUACAUCCAGCUCAAGCUUCAUUUUGAUCCCCCA